UUUUUUUUUAUAAAAGUUAUUAAAGGAUAUUUGGUCUCAAUCAAAAUCUCUCUAACUUAUAAUAGAUAAUCUCUUAAAAAAUAAAUAUGGCUGAAAAAUCAACUGAAUUUCAUCGGUCACCAUAAACAAGCCAAACUACCAUGUUAGCUCGAAUUACCUCAAACCUUUUUCUUUUUAUCAUUAUUUUAUGUAAAUUACACACAAGCUUAUAAUAUAUAAUAAAUAACUCUAGGAAAAUGGCAUUAUGAACCAUAAUCUAAAAAUAGGUGAAAAUACCUUUUUGUUAUAAAUAGAAUUGUAUUUAAGGUGAAUGUCUAUAUUUUAGAGAGAUUUUAGGGUUUGUUACUUGGUGGCUAAGUCACUUUUUCCCUAUAAAUAUAUGGGUUUUAUUCCAUUGUAAUUCAUCCCAAAUAAAAAAGAAUUCUCUCUCUUUACUUUUCUUUGCAAUACUUUUCUUAUUCUUUUAUUGUUUUUAAGGCUGUAUUCUGGGCCGGGGCCGGGCCUAAAUGGGCUAAACAGGCUAAACGGGCCGGGCCUAACGGUCCCGGGCUUUGGCGGGCCGGUCUUUGGCGGUCCCGGGCCAAAUGGUCCCGAUCCAAACGGUCCUGAUGGGUGGAACCGGCUCACUGUGGGCCUAAGCCCACAUGGUUCCAGGCUAAAUGGGUCGGGCCUACGGGCCUAAACGGGCUUAAGUAUUCCGGGCUAUUUUUCUUUUGAAUUGCACAACAAUGUACUAAUACCACCAUUAAAAGGAUAAAAAACUAAGGAAGAUGUGCCAAAAUACAAGUUACAUAUUAGCCUAUGUAUUAUCUCUAACAAAUUUCAUAAAUCCUUCAAGGUCCGGAGGAAUUUCCGUUGGUGGUGGCGGAAAAGAAGCUUGUUCAUCACUGCUUCCGGGCGAAGCAACAUCCUGCGCAAGUUCCGCUAGCAUUUCUUAAUAAGCUUCGUCUAUCCUCGGUUGUGAUUCUGCAAGUCCAGAAUUUCAUCUUUCCGAACGGAUUCAAUCUUUGAAGAGCACUGAUUUUUCCAAGCUCUCCCUCAUAGACGCUCUAUGAUCACCGAUUUGAAGUCUCGCUUGAUUGAAAGCGCUCUCCGAUGCCACUGUUGAAACUUGAACACUUAAAAUAUCUCAAGCCAUUCUUGAAAGAACCGGAUAGUGUUUUAUUUGUCCUUCCACCAUUCCAAAACAUCAAAGGAGCCGUCAGAAUUCUCUAAUUCAAAUCCCUGCAACAUAUAAACUUGAAGCUCAUUUAGUUGUGACCUAUCACCAAUAUUAUCACAUUGAGAACCCCUGAACUCCGUCCAAGCACUAAGGGAUUUUAGGCCCGCAGUUCUUUUAGAUGAUUGCGAACUAGACGAAGUAGGAGUUGGAAUAUCUGGUCUAGCAUGAUCUAAGGCAAGUUGAUAAGCAUUGUAAAUUAUUUGAGCAUUUAUUUUAAUUGAGGCUUUUGCAUCUCCAGGUGUAGCAAAUCCUCAUCUAAAAGUGAUAAAGCGUUAUAAAUUUUUGUGUACCAAAAGUGAGGACCUCCUAAUUUCAUUGUAGGAUUUAACAUGGCAGCAACACCAAAAAUAGGGGGAUAGGGAAAAAAAUUAUUUUUUAAACUUAUCUUUCAUAGAAUUAAUAGCAAGUUUAUAAAUUACCCCACCCUCUGAAAAUUGAGUAAACAAAUCUGCAAGUGCUGCAAUAUAAACUAAAUAGUUAGAAAUAGUAGGAUACUAUUGCCAGAUAAUUCAUUUGUAGCAACAUGAAAUUGUUCUAAAAAGUCUACAAGCAUUUUAACAUUAGUCCAAUCCUGAUUUGUAAGGUGCCCAUCAUCAUCAUCAUCAUCACCACCAUCAACACGAGCAUUAUACGUUGUGUUUAUUGGGUUUCUAUAUUCAUAUGCAACAACUAAACUUUCAUACAUGUAAUUCCAUCUAGUUGAACAAGGUUUAGAAACCUUUCUUUCUCUAAGGCCAAAUUCAUCACAUUUUUUUAAAAUAUUCUCUAAGUCUACUUCUACGGUUUGAAUAAAAAAGUCAAUUAAGAGUCAUUUUAACCUUUUCAAUUUCCACAUUUAAAAUUUUUAUACCAUCACCGACGAUUAAAUGAUAAAUAUGACAAAUACAUCUAACAUGAAAAAUAUUACUAAAUGCAGGAUUUAGUGUAGUUGUAAGCAAGCCUAUAGCAUUAGUGUUACUAGAAGCAUUAUCCAUUAAACAAAUAUUAUUUUAUCUCUAAUGCAAAAAUAUCUACAAAUAUCUGCAACUGUGUUAGCAAUAAACUUACCUGUGUGGCGUGAAUUAAUUAUUCUAUAAAGCUUUUGCAUUAUCCAGUCCUCGUCAAUCUAAUGACUUGUAACAGUUAGAUAAUCACAGUCAUUACAACUUCUAUCAAUAUCAGUAGUAAUAGCAAUGCGACAAUAUAUAUGAGUAAAUAAAUAGCGCAAAUAUUAUUCAUAUUCAUGUUUAUAUUUAUAAAUAUCGCUCUUUACGGUUGCGCGAGGCCAUCCUUUAUAAGUAGGAUUAAAAAAUCUUCUAAUAUAAUGCACAAAGUGAGGGUUAGAAGGAAAACUAUAGGGUAAGCACAUAACAGUAACCAUUUUUGCCAAUUCUUCACGAUCUUUAUUUGGAUCAUAAUAUAAAAUGCCACCGGUAACAGUGUUAAUUCUCGGUUGAACUAGAUUUGACCCUGUACUAGGGUUAACCUUAGUAUCUAUACUUCUACCCUCUUGCGCAUCUUUAAUUUGUAAAUAUCUAGCUUUAUCUCUAGGGUGUUUCUGUAUGGGUCUAGUCAAAGUACCCGUACCGCUACGGUCUCCAGUAUAUUUAUGAGCCAUCAAAGACCCACAAGUUUUACACUUAGCCUUAUUUUGUUCUCUUAGUCGAGUAAAAAAGUGCUAAACAAGAGAUGUUUCGGUCCGUUUAGAAGGUUGUCUAUUAAAAGUAGGGGUUACUACUGGAGGGUCAGGCGGGACAUCAUUUGGAUUAUUAACAGUUGGGUUAUUAAUAGGACUAGUAGGUGUAUCAUCUAAAUCCAGUUGCAUUUCAUCUAAAUCAUCAUUUUCAAAGAUAAUUUGAUUAGGAUAAAGAGCAUUCAUAACUUCAUCAUUUAAUUGUUGGCCUGGUGCAACAUCAUGGAAAAAUUGACUAUCGAAAAAUUAAAAACAAUGGUUAUCACUAUCAAGAAUAACAUGUAGGGGAGGACGGGUAAUAAGUCUGGGUCGGGGAGCCGGGGGAAGGGUAGUAGCUUGGCGAUUAGAUACCAUUUUUAGAUUUUCCCUUACCCUUACCACCAAAUAAUUUUUUCAAAAAAAAAAGUCCAUAUUAAUUAUAAUUAUACUAAAUAAAACAAACAAAACUAUAAUAUUAAAACUUAAGAGUUGGAACGAUUUAUUGAAUUGACGAACAACGUCUUGAAAUUGAAUAUUGUUGAAGGCUUGAAUACUUCAAUUCACCAACUAAACAAUUUUUCACAAAAUUGCAAUAAUAAAGUAAGCAAUUAUAGAAGAAAAUUAGAGAGAGAUUGAUAAAUUUGUGAGUAAAAAUAAAAGCAUGAGGGGGUAUUUAUAGUUGAGAAUAGGGAAAAAGUAUAAUUAUAAAAUGUUUGGGGUUAAAAUAAAGUUUGGGGGCCAAAUGGCUAUAUUUUAAAAAGCCAAACGGCUAAAUUGCAACCCAACGACUUGUUUUUAAAUUUCAGACCGUUGGCCUUUUUUUUUGAAAAAUAGUCGUUGGGCCCGUUUUGUCCGGUUGAACCGGCCUAGGCCCGCCUGCCGGUCCUGGGCUCGCGGUCUAUUUGGUGAGGAGGGGCCCACAGUGGGCUUUUAGGAUCGUUAGGGACCGGCCCGUUUGGCCCAUUUGCUAGCGGUCCCGGGCUGGACCCGACCCACAAUACACCCUUAAUUGUUUUAUAACACGUUAUCAGGACGGGACUCUUACCAAUUGAGUAGGCAUCUUCUUUGCUCACCAUGCUUUGGGAUACAUGCAUGGUGCUCAACUUGUACAUAGUAUUGAGCAUAAUGAUUUUCAAUUGAUCCAUGAAUUUCCUUCAGGAAUAAAUUCUGGAUUUAAGGUAAGUAUUUUACCUUAUUUUCACUUUUAGAUUCUUAAAAUUCUAUAAUUUGAUUUUAAAUACAAGCAAAGAGAAUAAAUUUUGAUUAUAACUCUAAUAGAGUUUGUGAGAAAUUAUAACCACCCGAAGUGGUAAAAAGAUUUAUGCCUUGUCAUUUUCAAAUUCAUGUAUGAUUAUGAGUACAAGAAGUGUAAACUCAUUCCAUUGAAUUUUCAUCAUUCUCGUUCCCUUAAGAGAAUGUGGUAGAAAUAUGUAAUAAGUCUGAAAGAAGACAAAAUUAUUACCGUGAAUGUAUCAAUGGAUAUGGACGUGGAAAUAGAUGAAAUUAUAACCGUCAUUAUUAUGGUAAUGAGAAAAAUAGGGGUUCUCAAAAUAAUCAUUCACUCUGUGAAAGUAAUGUUUGACAUAUGAGAUUUUGUAAAGCAUAUAUAGAUGAUUAUGGUCAAUUCAUGAUGUGAUUGUGACAACAUGUGAUUUAUGAAUACAUAUUCUUUCUUUCAAGAAUAUGAACGUGCUAGUGGUAAUGAAUAUAUCAUACUCACCUCUAGAAGGAGGUUUGAGAUGAAAUACGAAAAUAAUUUCAUUAUUAUGUCAUGAAUUACCAUUGAUCGCGUACCUAUUGUGAUUAUGCCAAAAUAUUAUGGCAAUGUGAUUAUUACAGGGCAAAGGAAAUGAAAGCAAUAUAUCUUGCCUAUAAUGAUUUUAAGCAUGACCAUAAUGGUAUAAAUUUCUCUUUGAAAUAUAUAUUUACCAUAUGGAUGUUGAUGAAUAUAUGGUAGUACAAAAUUAAUUGAGAGUUCUGGAAGAGCCAAUUAUUACUAUUUUGGUGAAAUAAAAUUGAUUAUCAAUAACAUAUUGUGUCGUAGUAAGUCUCAAAGAAAUUUAUUUAGUUUCUAAAGUGUUCGCGAAAGUGGUUGGUUAUAUUGAGACUAUAAAUAAAGGAAAGAUUUGAUAUCUUCCAUUACUACAGCUUGUAGCGCGGUAAUAUUUAUGUGAAAAGUUACCCGCUUUAUUCUUCAGUUUGUACUACACAAAUAAGAUAAUGCCACAAUAAAGUAGAAGUUUAUUGAUAUAAAAACUCAUAUCAUAAUAAACUUGGAGUUUAUUGAUAAUUGCACAUGUCAUGGUGUAUACCUAAAGUUUAUCAAUAUUAAUUUUUUCAGUUGGCAUAAUUAGUUUAGCAAUGUUAAUUUAAGUAUGAUGUGGAAAAAUAAAAGAAAAUUCACGUGGGUAAAUAUUAAAGAACUAAAAAGUACGGAUUCUCUUAUGUUGCUUUUUCUCAUUGAUUAAUAGAUCGAUAAAAAUUGGGAUUUAAUCCCAAUAAUGCUGGAAAUAUCAAAGAUGAAUAUAAGCCCAUUCACCUACCAUGUAUACUACAUAAGAUGCAUCUAUGAGAUGGUUACAUGUGUGAUUAUUAUUAACCGGCAAUGUAAUAUUUGUGAUAUAACCUUCUCAAUAAUUUAAUUUAGAGCAUAAUUUCCAGAUUUUUUAUUCAAGACAGUUCAUCUUGGUAAGUUGGUUUGCAUCACAGUUGGUUUAGAAAAAUAAUUUAUUGAGUGCAUCCACUUAAUAGUUAAACUAUUGUUUAUGAGAACAAAUUAUCUAUAUCAGUUUGAUAUAGGUUAUAUACGAAAGUAUAUUACAUUCUCUCUUUACAAGUGGUUCAAGGUCAGGAACCAAAUCUAUCUUAUUGUUAUUAUUAUUGAUGUGCGAUGUAUUUUUGAUUAACACCAUCACACACAAAUAUGGAUUUCAAAGUUGAGGAAACAAGUUAGUUUUUCUAACAUGAGAGAGAGAUAGGAUAAACAGUUGAGAAAGAGUUACGUAGAAUGAAUUAUCAUUUGUACAUCUAGAUACUCGAAUAAAAUAAAAUGAACUUUAUGUUCAUAGAAAGAUAAUUCAUCUGUAAUAUAUUACAAAGCACGCUUGACACAUUGGCGGACCCAAAUAAAGUAACCAUAUUCUCACCGUAAAUUCUCCUGUUAGAAUAAGUCCUAGAACGACAAAGUUUAAUGUAACGACCCGACCAAUCAUUUUGCUUUCUAAAACCCCAAUUCCCUAAAUGAGUCUUUCUGUACUUGCUUUUACUUAUUUUGUGACUUGCGGGGAUGGGUAGUUCGGAAUUUGAAAAAGUUUGGGUUGAAAUCGGAACACUUGGUUCCUUAAGGUUGGCUUAAAAGGCCAAGUUUGACUUCGGUCAAUAUUUUGAGUAAAACCUUGGAAUUGGGAUUUGAUGGUUCAAAUAGAUUCGUAUGAUAAUUUUGGACUUGGGCGUAUGUUCGGAUCAGGUUUUGGAUGACCCGGGAGCAUUUCGACGCCUAAAAGUGAAAGUUGGUUCUUUGAAGGUUUUUGAAGUUAUUUAAAUAUAGUUUGGAGUAGGUUUUGGUGAUAUCGAGGCCCAAAUAAAAUUUCAAGGCCGGGAAUAGUUCCGUAAUAUCAUGUAAGACUUGCACGUAAAAUUUGGUAUAAAUCCGAGUAGUCUAAGUAUGAUUCGACGCGUUCGGAGCGAUUUAGAAACUUGAAGUUCAAAGUUUGAUCUAAUUUGGUUUUGGGGUUUGAUUCUUGGAUUUAUUGUUGUUUUACAUGUUUCGAGAGUUUGAGCAGGUCCGUAUUAUGAUUAUAGACUUGUUGGUAUAGUUGGACGGGGUCCCGAGAGGCUCGAGUGUGUUUCGGACCGCCCAGAGCUAAAUUUGAGAAACCAAAUUUUCCAGUUAUGGUUUCCUUCUUCGCGAAUGCGGGACGGCCAUCACGUUCGCGAGGAAGGAUUUAGGGCAGUGGGAAAAUUGCCCUUCGCAUUUUCGGUCAGACUCACGCAUUCACGAAGCCAUGAGAGUAUAGGCCUUCUCUUUCGCGAACCCUCCUCGCAUUCGCGUAGGGGAAAUGGGGCUGGGUAGGGCCAGUGGACUUUGCUCUUUGCGUUCGCGAAAGAGCUGUCGCGUUCACGAUGCUUAGUCAGCGUAGGCCUUCGUGAACGCGAGGCUUCUUCCGCAUUCACAAAAUAGGCCGUCAUAGUUAGGGCUGCUUAUCGGGCGGAUCAGGCGGAUAAUUAUGCUUAACGGUUCGGCCUAUCAGUUAUCAAUUUUUAAAUAUACAAAUCUGUUAGCCAACGGAUAAGAUAUCGGUCGGUUCGGUAUCAGAUUAGUAAUUAUCGGACGGUUAUCAGGCGAUAUAUCAGUUAAUUUAAGAGACAACAAAAAUUAAAAUCACAACAUGUAGUCCAGCUUCCACCGGCGAAAUUAAAAUCACAGGCAGCUUCCAAUUCGGUUGCACAACAGCUUUUACAAAGAUGAAACAACAAAACCUUAUGUAUGUUGUAUAGAAAAAGACAAAAAGCAACCAGCAGACUAAUAACUAGCACAACUGCUUGUGCUAACUGUCAAGUUCUUUUGCAACAAGAUGUAAAUACUUUAUAAUUGGCAACAAAAAAACAAUAAAAUAUAGAUAAAAUGUAAACAAUGACAAUUGACAAAGGUUAUUAGUCCCCCUCGCAGGAGACUCAACACGGAUCAUAAAAAGCAAUUGGUUUGAUUUAUUAAAAGCAAUUCGAGAAGACUACCUCUUCAACCUCAAAAGUUUAAAAAAAUAUUAUAAGCUGCCCCAAUAAAUGACUUCAAAGUCUUGGAUUCAGCAUCAAGAUGCAAACACAAUAGUGUAAAUAUAAUACUUCUUAAUGGGUUAAUGGUUUAUCCGAUAAGAAAAUUUAAUAAUCCACCCCAAACAAAUAAGCCGUUAAUUAUAUAAUUUCAAUCCAUUCACCAACCGUUAAUCUGAUAAUCCGUUACCAAUAAGCCAAUAAGGCAAUAUUGCAGUUCGGUUAUCGGUUACGGUUUGGUUUUGAACAGCUCUAGUCACAGCUAGGCAGAAGCUUGUUUUAAAUAUGGGACUUAGGCAUUUUUCUCCCAUUUUUCAUACACUUGGGCGAUUUUAGAGCUUCAAAAAGGGAGAUUUCAACCUAGCUAUUGAGGGUAAGUAAUUCCUACCUAAUAUGAGUUUAAUACAUAGAUUAUGGGUAGAUUUUAAUAUGUAAAUUUAUGGAAUUCAUGGGCUAGAUGGAAAACCUAGGUUUUUAAUAAAAAUGAAAUUUAACCACGAAAUUUGUUAUGGAAUUUAGUAAAAAUUAUAUAUUUAUGUUCCUAAGGUUAUGGGUAACAACUUUCUUAAAAACAAUUGGGAAUCCAAGCAUGUGGGCCUGGGAGUGAAUUUUAGGAAUCUUGCAAUUUGGGUUGGGUUAUCACUUUAAUAGUGGAAAUGUGAACUUUUGAGCAUAGAUUGAUUAGUUUAUGUAAUGUUUGACUAGUUUUGAGUCGUUUGGCAUCAAAUUUGAAGGUUUGAGCGCAUUCUUGAAUUGGGAAGUAGGCUUUGAGACGAGGUAAGUCUCCUUUCUAACCAUGUAAGAGGGAAUUAACCUCAUAGGUGAAUUAAAUAAAUAUGUGUACCUAUUUGUGAGGGCUACGUACAUAUGAGGUGACGAGAGUCCGUACGUAGCUACUAUUAUGCUAUUUUUCGGGUAGUUUAGGACCCGUGUCAUGCUUUAUUUGGAAUGUUUGUUCCCUUAGUUGCUAAUUUGAUUACUUUAGUCAUGUUAGAAUUUGAUAAAAGAAUUCGUAAAAGGUUAAGUUCACUUAUUUGAAGAAUUUAAUUGGAGUACUUGACUAUAAAUAAGAAAUUUGUGUUUCCUUAAAAAUAAUUGCUAUUUGUGGAUCGGUUCGAGUGCCUCGGAAGUAAAUAGAUGCAUCUAUGGUUCGCAUUGUUCGACCCUCCGGCAGUGAACAAUUUAAAUAUUAUAUUGGAUCAGAUCGUACGACCUCGCCAUAAUUUGCGCGUGAUGAUUCUUUAGUACCCUCCAUGAUUGAUAUUGCUUAAAUGUCUUGAAGUGUAAACUGUUAAAUGAUAAUACCAAAUUUGGCAUUUAUAUUUGUGAAAGAAGGACUCAUAUUUUUCCUAUUUUUUUAAGCUUUCAGUAUUAUUCAUGCAAAUAUAUGCUUAGUAUAACAUUUUAAUACAUUAUUGUUAGCCCUAGUGAGUGUCAAGUCGACCACUCGUCACUACUUCUUCGAGGUUAGACUAGAUACUCACUGGGUACAUAUUGUUUAUGUACUUAUACUACACUUCUGUACUUAAUUGUACAGGAUCUAAGGCUGGUGCUUCUAGUUACCCGUCCGGCGUGCAUACUUGAUUGUGGUUCGAGACUUCACGGUGAGCUGCCCCCUUUCGAGUUGUUCAGCAGCAUGCUGGAGUUUCUCUCUUACGUGUAUCUAUCUAUUCUAUUUCAGACAGUAGGAUAGCCAUCUUUUGUACAUUCUACUAGCUACCUACAUACGUGUGACACUAGGUCUUGGCACACAUUUGUAGACUUACAAUUUUUGGGUUGUAUUUCUACAGUUAUGAUUUUCUUAGUUUGUUUUCCGCAUUUGGUUGCUUUAAAAAUCCGUUAUUUAUCAAAUGUUUUAAAUUUAAGGAAAGUUAGUUGUUGGAAUCACUUAAUAAAAAUGGAAAAUCACUAAGUUGUUCAUUGUUGGCUUGUCUAGCAACGGUGCUGGAUGCCAUCACGGCCUAACAUGGAGUUGGGUCAUGACACCUAAGGUACGCUUAAAGCGUAUAGACAAAUCAGUUUAAAUAAAAUUCUUGAUGAAGAAGAUGAACAAAAUGAUCAUAAUAAGGAGACAAGUGAUCCAGAAGAUCACAUGACAUAACAUGUAAUGACCCGACCGGACAUUCUGAGCUCUAGCAUGUCGUCUGGCAUUUUGAUGCCUCACAUAGCUUCACUUCAUAUUUUAUGACUUGUACGCGUGGUCGGAAUUGAAUUUCGGUAAGUUCAGAGUUGAUUCGGAAGAAAAAUUUUAAUUUUGGAAGCUUUAUGUUGGAAGAGUUGACUAAGGUUUGGCUUUUAAGUAAAUGACCUCAGAAUCGAGAUUUGAAGGCUCCAAUAGGUUUGUAUGCUGAUUUCGGACUUGGGCGUGUGUUCGGGUUGAGUAUCGGAUGGUCCGGGAGCAUUUUGGCGCCAAUUAUGGGAAGUUGGCAUUUUGGAUGUUCUAGAAUUUCACAAGUUUGGUUUGAAGCGGAUUUGACGUUAUCGAUGUCCAUUUGGAGUUCCACGCCUUGGGAUAGGUUUGUAUCGGGAUUUGUAACUUACAUGUAAAGUUUAGCGUCAUUAUAGGAUGUUUAGGUGUAAUUCGGACGCCUUCAGCGAAGUUUGAAGGUUGGAAAGUUGAAAGAAAGGUUUAGGCUGUCGAUUUGUAAUUUUGAUAUUGUUUGACGUGAUUUGAGAUUCAACUAAGUCUGUAUCGUGUUUUGGGAUGUGUUGGUAUGUUUAGACAGGGUCUCGGGGGCCUCGGAUGCGAAUCGAAUUGAAAAUGGAUUGGGUUUAGACUUGGAGGAACUGUUGAAGCUUAAGGCUUCUGGUGUGAUCGCACCUACGAGGUUAUGGCCACAGGUGCGAGAUCACAGAAGCAGUCCAGGGGUCACAGAAUUGGUAAGGAUUGAGGCUGGUUGGAUUUACAGGUGCGAGGAAUUUACUUCACCUGCAGGCUCGCAGAUGCGGGCGGAGGAGCGCUGAAGUGGAAGUGGUCUGUGGCUGGAAGAUCGCAGGUGCGGGUGUUGUAGAGCACCUGCAAAGCAGCAGGUGCGGUCAUGGACGCGGAGGUGCAGAGUGCUGCUCGAGCUGGGGAGUUUGCAUAUGCAGGUUAAGAUCGCAGAAGCGGCAUCUGCGAGUGAAUGUCCACAGAAGCAAAAAAGUUGGCACCUUGGGAAAGCCGUAUCUGCGAGGUAGCUUUCGUAGAAGCGGAGCCACAGUAGUGCAAGGAGUUCCGUAGGUGCGGAAAAUCGUUGGGUAGAAGGGUUCUUUAAAUCGAGACUUAGCUCUCAUUUCCCUCAUUUUCCACUUAAAUGGACGAAUUUGGGGAGCUAUUUUGAGGAGGUUUUCAUCAUGCAACACAAGAUAGGUAAUUUCCCACUUGUUGUAGGUUAAUUUCAUGGAUUCUAUAUGGAUUUAAACAUGGAAAUUAGUUGAAGAUUGGGAAUUUGGUAGAAAAUCUAGAAAUUGAUAUUUUUGUAUUUUGACAACGAAAUUGGACAUGGAAUUUGGAAUAAAUUAUAUAUUUAAGUUUGUGGUGUUAUGGGUAAAGUUUAUUUUCAAACAAUUUCGAAAUCCGGGCACGUGGGCUCGAGGGUAGACUUUAUUGACUUUUCGAGCGGAGUUGAGAAUUAUUGUAAAUUAAUUAAUUGCGAUGUUGAGAUAUAUUUUUAUUGGUUUUCAUGAUUAUUUUACUAGUUUGGAUCAAUGGGCAUUUGGUUUGAGGUGUUAGAGAGGUGUUGGAGCCAGUUAUAGNNNNNNNNNNNNNNNNNNNNNNNNNNNNNNNNNNNNNNNNNNNNNNNNNNNNNNNNNNNNNNNNNNNNNNNNNNNNNNNNNNNNNNNNNNNNNNNNNNNNNNNNNNNNNNNNNNNNNNNNNNNNNNNNNNNNNNNNNNNNNNNNNNNNNNNNNNNNNNNNNNNNNNNNNNNNNNNNNNNNNNNNNNNNNNNNNNNNNNNNNNNNNNNNNNNNNNNNNNNNNNNNNNNNNNNNNNNNNNNNNNNNNNNNNNNNNNNNNNNNNNNNNNNNNNNNNNNNNNNNNNNNNNNNNNNNNNNNNNNNNNNNNNNNNNNNNNNNNNNNNNNNNNNNNNNNNNNNNNNNNNNNNNNNNNNNNNNNNNNNNNNNNNNNNNNNNNNNNNNNNNNNNNNNNNNNNNNNNNNNNNNNNNNNNNNNNNNNNNNNNNNNNNNNNNNNNNNNNNNNNNNNNNNNNNNNNNNNNNNNNNNNNNNNNNNNNNNNNNNNNNNNNNNNNNNNNNNNNNNNNNNNNNNNNNNNNNNNNNNNNNNNNNNNNNNGGCAUCCCAUCAUAUCAUUUCGGCCACUGUGGGCAAAUCAUCAACAUAUAGCAGCUGAUCAGGUGCUGGUGCGCAUAUAACGCCGUAACCUUUUCUAUUGCCCAUAUACAUAUAAUAUAUGCGUAUAUAAUGCCAUCUAGUCAUGGGUCAAUGUACAUGUAUAAAUGCAUGAAAUGCAUAUGAAAUACGUUACAAGAUUUUUCGGAACAUCAUAAAAUUAAUAUGUCUUUCGGAUAAACUUUAUCAAAUACGUAUUUUUCUGAGUCCCAUGAAUAGAAGAUAUAAUAAUAAUUCACAUGGGGAAUCAAGAAUAUAUACACCCCUAGUAUUUUUAUGAAUAAAGUGAUUUAUGAAUGUUGCGUAUUUUGCUCGUUUUGUUUGUGUCGUAUAGAUCACGCCAAAAAGAAAGAAUGGAUAGCCUUAACAUACUUGAGCCCAUUCUCUUGACAGUCCCUCUAACACGUGUCAAUUGCAACAACACAUAACGGUGGACCGAAGUAGGGAAAAAUUCUUAUGUUAUUCUUGAGAAAGAUUGUAUUGUGCUUCCUCAGAAUUGCAUCUCACACUGUUGUAGCCUUAUGAAAUUUCAUAUGAAUUCAUUUGGGAAUUCAUCCGAUACUUACUUAGCACAUACAUCUCUUAAAAUUGUGGUGUUAUCCAACCUAAUUCUUUAAAAAUAACGCAUGAAUUUACAGGAUUUGAUCAGACACCACAUUUGAAUGUGAACUGGACUUUGGUAAUCAAAUUGGGAUAUAGCUAGCUAGGAUGCAUUUGUAUUUCUAAGUAAGAACCCAACCAAGGCACUUAGGUCCAAUUCUCUAAACAAAGGAGAACGUGUAAUCAAGCUGUCUUUUGACUCAUCAUGGACAUUUUGCCACUUUGGGUUGGCUUAAUGCCACGUGGCAACCCCAAAAAAAUAUCAUUAUCCACAUAAUCCUUCUUAAUACCACAAUUAUCCUAUCAUUAAUUAAUUAUCCCCAUAAUUAGGAAUUAUCUCAAAUUAUUUAAUAUACUACUUACUUUUAAUACACUUUAUACACCUUACAAUCAUGGUCAUGUGGUGCAUUCUGUGACACUAGUCCAUGAAUACGGGAUAUUAUACUUGGAUCGUAUUUUAUCCCCAAAAUGCCAAAAUUUGACGAAAUUUAUUUUCUUCGAUUUCCUUGCCCACCUUCAUGAAUUUACUUAUCACUUGUUUGAAAUAGCAUAGUGCUUAUAAUCUCAAAAUAAUCUUAUUCCCGAACUUACAUCGGUUAACUUACAAUGAAACUUCAACGUACGAAAAUGUGGUACGUAACAUCAUUCCCCCCUUUGGAACAUUCAUCCUCGAAUGUUGACUGAUGCACUUAUCAUUUUCAUAACAUAUGGCUCUUGCGAAUAUUUUAUUACUCUCCUUGUCAUCUAGGCAACUGUUCUGUGAAUAAAUCCAAAGGCAUGGUCAUUUCUCCCUUUAGGCCUCUUUCUCAUAUCAUGACUUGUGGUCGGAAUUCUUCCAAUCUCAUAACUGUUGCUACCUUCCAUCAUGCAUCCUGUACGACUCUAACCUUGUAAGUGUGCCUAUGUAACUCUUCUCUCCUUUUCCCUCGAGCUUUUUGCCAAUCUCUAGGAUUCAGUUUGUAUACAUAUACAGAGCUUGAUAAGAGGUCCCUCUGAGCAUCUAUGGGUAUACUGAAGUUCUUCGCUCAGUACUUUGUUGAACUUACUAAUAUUGUUAUAUCUUAUUUCAUCGUCCCGGUUAUCUAUCCGCAUGACUUUACUGCAUCUAGGUAGGUCAUACUAUACCAUAACUCUUACCUUGGUUUAUCGUUAUUGAGGUAUACUACCAAACUCCAGGUUACUUGCGUUUGUUAGCCCAUAUGUAUGAAUCUAAGUCCUUUAAUGCUUCCUUUUUAUUGUUCAUCUUAAUAAUGACGCCCUAAUCUCAUCUUAUACUUUGUGACUUUUGUCCAUCCAUUGUUGAUUCACCUUAAUAUUGAUCUAUAAUCUACCACUAGUAACUUGAAACCUCUUACGUGGAACAUUUGAAGUGAUUUUCCUAAUCCACUUGGGGGCGAUAUGAUACUAUACUUCCAUAAUCAUAUUUCAUAGCAUCCCAAUGUGAUUUAUCUUACACAGUUAUUUUAAUCUUGUACAAUUCAUGAAAUCCCUCUUUUUUCUUCAAAUCAUUACUCAAUCGAAGGCCCAAACAUCAUCCUUUAUCUAUCACAAUCACACCCUCAUUCCACUCUAGAUGCUAUUAAUCUUAGAUUCCUUUGAGUUCAUUAGGCUAUACUGAACUUUCUAUAACUUAGAGAAACCAUUAGUGUUCUUGUUGUCAUGGGCUUAAUCUCGAGGACAUAUCUAUUCUCGUCACCUUCUUACUCGCCCUUUCUCACCCUUAUUCCUAUCAUAAAACCUCGUCGCUUUACUAUACUUUAGCUUGCGACCUCUACGCAUCUAUUUAUACUAUUCGCAACCUUCAUUCAAAUUGCUUCCACCAUAGAUUCCCUAAUGUUAUUAUAGAACAUCAAGCGAGACAUCAUAUCAUCUCUAACUCUUCUUUAGUCUCUUGGCUAGAUCUCUCGGUACCUAGAAACCAUAGGCUGGAAGAUAUGCCACUAACGAUGCCACUAUCAUUCCUGGAUAUUGAAUCCCCACGCUUCUAGCCUUCUAUCCAAAGUAUGGACUAUUAUCAAACUUUUGCUUUUGAGUAUCUCGUACGUUGUCUACAUUUACCUUACUUACCUUAAAGUCUCGCAUCUCAUCUUCUAUCUCUUUCAUGACCUACCUUGCACAUAGGUAUAAUUCACGUCAAUAACUUGAAGCUCUAUUAUAAUACUUACACCUCCGGUGCAUACACAAUCCGGUGGGAGCUUCGUACUGACUUCUUAUGAGGGUGAUACUUUUCUAACUGGCUUUAUCGUAGGGUCGUCAUAGAAUAUGGUUGUUGUACUUUCUCUCUUGUACCUCUAAUAUUAAGAGUGAUCCUGCAAUGUUCUCAAUCACGAUUUCUUUAAUUUUCUGGGUCCAAUAAUCAGACUCCUAAUUUACUUGGUUGAUGUAACUCUUUAGUUUCCUCUUCCUUCUGACCAGCCUUUAUGUAGGCUUAAGCUAUCUUUCGAUCUGUGGCUCCUGGUAUUAGUUAUUACUUUAGCCUUUCAUGGGCGCUAUGAAAUAUCCGUGAUACCAUCAUCUAACAAUUCAAUCAUUGUCUAUGUCCUUCUUUCUUUUAACUAAUAUCGGAGUCUUCUACGAUUGUAUGAAUGUCAAUAUAUAUGUUUCGUGGAGAAUACUCCGAAAUCUUAAGUGUGUUCAUAGCAUAACGAACUCUAGAUCAUUAAUCGAAUAAUUCCUUUCGCUCCAUCUCAGCUUUCUUCAAACGUAAGCAAUUGUUUUUCCUGGUCUUUUUGCCCCCUUGUUACGUGCAUACUUAGCUUAUUUCAGUUAUCACAUAUGCCUAAAUGUUUGUGCAACUCAUAUGGUCUCCAAUAUUACUUUUGGUUUUACUCCCCGCUCAUUAGCCAUGGUAGGUGCCACUUUCUUUAGGAGUGCAUACAAUUUUGUAGUGAGACUGUUGUUCCACAACCAUUUCCUCUUUAGGUCAUGGUGCCUAGGUUGAAGCCUUCUUCCUUAUUUCCUCAGCUAGUCUUUCAUUGUAGUACUUAGGGAGGAUCACCUAACUCUUAUAAAGCUGCGAGCUUAUCACAUCGUAUACUUGACGGAAUAUUUUAUGUUCUUCCUCGCCUAUAAUUACCCGUAGUUGUUUAUCUCCACGCCUUUGUGCUCGUAGGGUUGCUUUUGAAUUAAUAUUUUGACUGACUUCCUAGUGGUACUCUCUUUUGUUUCCAUAACAAUCAUAUUGUAACUUUAUUUACCCCUACUUAUAUCUGAAUAUUUAUGAAGGAUCAUGAUGUCACAACUACGAGGCUGAAUUCCCCAUGUUAGGGUUCCCUAUGUUUAUCUUGAACAAUUUGUUAAUUUGUCUAUAUCCCAUAGCUAGGCUCAUUCUGAAUCAACUACUAACUACUUGUUGGCCCAUUCAUGUAUCAAUAUUCCACGUAAUCUUUCUUGGGUUAUUUUCGUUGUCUUAACUUACCUCUUGCACUGGCUCUUUAUUAAUCAAUAACAUCUCGAGCAGGAACCCUUACUUCCUCUUCUUGAUGUCGUGUUUGCAUAAUGCUUUGGAAUCGUGGCAUAUCUGUAGGCUUUGAAUAAGUGAAAUCUCAUCCAUUUUUCAUUUUAUCACAUUCUUCCUCUACCAUUCCAUAAUCACUAGAACCACUUAAUUCUGAUUUAAAUGCCACAUCACUCCAUAUUCCCCCCUUUAGGGGAGCACUAAGAUUUAGUGUUACGAUGAUCGAUGUAUAGAUAUUUUAUCUUCUCAUCUUUGCCAUCUUUUCACAUCUUCGAUGAUCCUUACUCGCCUUGCGGUAAUCCUUCUGUACCAAGGAUAACGAAAUUCCUCACUGUCGAGGAUGAAACUUAGUGUAACAAGCACAUACAGUCCCUUAAGCUUAAUUUUACUCACCUUUCUUGCUUUAGGGAAGCGUCUUCCUAAAUUCCUUUUAAAGGGUAUUCUUCUGUCGUCCAUUUUAUUAUUUGGGGACACGAUCUCUGAAAUUCCCAUGAUGCCGACUAUUACUCAGUCCCUAGUUCAUGUUUAGUUUAUCUUGUUCAUCAAUCCAUGCUAAUUUCUUAUUACUCUAGGGUCUAACCUUUCUUUUUGGUAGUCGUGUUGGAGUCACGAACUUAAGGAUAUGACUUUAUGGCCUAUACUUUUUUGUUGACUCAAGGCAUGUCACCUCUCGUCCUUUCUUUCACUUGAAUAUACUCUAUAAUAUUGUCAUCUUUUUGAUAUAUCGUUGUUAUUCAUGUAUCAUAUCUUACUCAUAAUUUUUCAUUAACUCUUUUCUUAUUUCCCGCUAACAUUUAUGUCUAUAACUUUAUUCUGAAAACUUGAACAAGACAUUCUUUUGCUUUUAGCUCCUCUUUGCUACAUCUAGUGGCUCUUCGGGCUGCUUAACGUUCUCACUCUACUAGGGACGCGAGCAACACUAAGGUAAUAUUUAUCCCUUCCAAGCUUUUUAUGCCUAUCUUCUGAUUUUUUUUAUUUUUUUCAUGCUAAUAUUCACAUCUAAUCGUAAUAUUCUAGAGUGCACCAUCUGGGUGCCUCACAAGGAGAUCUAUUAGUGCAUUUGUAAUAUCCUUCGGAAAUAUCAACUAACACAAAUAAUCUAUUUACCAUUUUGGUUACUCUAACCCCAGCCAGAUCCUAAUAUCCUGUCCUUUUCUUAAACUACACAUUUUAGCCCCCAAUAGGGUAUAACUGAGAUGGGUGUGGCCAAUUCUACAUACAUCUGUUACUGUUGAAGGUAAGUCACAAUACUUAUACUUUUCUUGCGGAGUUGAAAAUACCGAUAAUCUUUAUUAACUGGAUACCUCGUAUCCUUCUCAUCUUUCUCCUUUUUCUUGUUGAAGCUUGUAUCUAUCUUCUGAAUCUCUCAUUGCCUUUCACCANNNNNNNNNNNNNNNNNNNNNNNNNNNNNNNNNNNNNNNNNNNNNNNNNNNNNNNNNNNNNNNNNNNNNNNNNNNNNNNNNNNNNNNNNNNNNNNNNNNNNNNNNNNNNNNNNNNNNNNNNNNNNNNNNNNNNNNNNNNNNNNNNNNNNNNNNNNNNNNNNNNNNNNNNNNNNNNNNNNNNNNNNNNNNNNNNNNNNNNNNNNNNNNNNNNNNNNNNNNNNNNNNNNNNNNNNNNNNNNNNNNNNNNNNNNNNNNNNNNNNNNNNNNNNNNNNNNNNNNNNNUACACAUCUAAAUCAUACUGACCAAACAAGCAACUCCGGAGCAAAUAGAGUGCACCAACAACUUCCACUGAGCUGAUUGCCUACUUGGAGGACUCUCAAACUGUCUAUAGAGACCUACGGGCAUGAAACGCAGCGUCCCCGGGCAAAAGAGACGUCAGUACAAAUAGUGUACUGAGUAUGUAAGGAAUGGAAAUCAGUAAAAAAUAGACAUGAGAAAAAUAUGGAGUAAAAGACUUGACAUGUACGUCUGCUUAGCUCUGUAAAUCAUUUCAUUUUUAUAUUUUCAUGCCUAUGCAUAUAAAUGUCAUAUCAUGCAUAGGUAUAUGUAUUCAUAACAUCAUCAAGCCUCUAAGGCCAUCACAUCAUAUCAUUUCGGCCACUAUGGACGAAUCAUCAACAUAUACCAGCUGACCAGGUGAUGGUGCGUAUAUAACGUCGUAACUUUUUCCCAUAUCCCAAUACAUAUAAUAUAAGCGUAUAUAACGCCAUCUGGUCAUGGGUUAAUGUACAUGUAUAAAUGCAUGAAAUGAAUAUGAAAUACGUUACAAGAUUUUUCAGAAUAUCAUAAAAUUAAUAUGCCUUUAAGAUAAACUUUAUUAAAUACGUAUUUUUCUCAUACCCAUGAACAGAAGAUAUAAUUAUAAUUCACACGGGGAAUCAAGAAUAUGGACACCCCUAGUAUUUCUAUGAAUAGAGUGAUUUAGGAAAGUUGUGUAUAUUGCUCAUUUCGUUUGUGUUGUAUAGAUCAUGCCAAAAAGAAAGAAUGGAUAGCCUUAAUAUACCUAAGUCAAUUCUCUUGACAAUCCCUCUAACACACGUCAAUUGCGACAACACAUAACGGCAAACCGAAGUAGAGAAAACUCUGUAUGAUAUUCUUGAGAAAGAUUGUACCGUGCUUCCUUAGAAUUGCAUCUCACACUGCUGUAGCAUUAUGAAAUUUCAUAUGAAUUCAUUUGGGAAUUCAUCAGAUACUUACUUAGCACAUACAUCUCUUAUAAUUGUGGUGUUAUCCAACCUAAUUCUUUGAAAAUAACGCAUGAAUUUAUAGGAUUUGAUCAGACGCCACAUUUGAAUGUGAACUCGACUUUGGUAAUCAAAUUGGGAUAUGGCUAGCUAGGAUGCAUUGUAUUUCCAAAUAAGAAACCAACCAAGGCACUUAGGUCAAAUUCUCUAAAUAAAGGAAAACGUGUAAUCAAGUUUUCUUUUGACUCACCAUGGACGUUUUACCACUUUGGCUUGGCUUAAUGCCAUGUGGCAACUCCAAAAGAAUAUCCUUAUUCACAUAAUCCUUCAUAAUACCACAAUUAUCCCUAUCAUCAAUCAAUUAUCCCCACAAUUAGGAAUUAUCUCAAAUUACUUAAAAUACUACUUACUUUUAACACACUUUAUACACCGUACUAUUAUGGUCAUGUGGUACAUUGUGUAGCACUAGUCCAUGAAUACAGAGUAUUAUAAUUGGACUGUAUUUUAUCUCAAAUUUCCAAACUUUGACGAAAUUCAUUUUCUUCUAUUUGCUUACCCUUUCACCUUCACGAAUUUACUCAUCACUUGUUUGAAAUAGCAUAGUGCUUAUAAUCUCAAAAUAAUCUCAUUCCUGAACUUACGCCGGUUAACUUACGAUGAAACUUCAACGUACGAAAAUGUGGGAUAUAAUUGUGCUACGUAUGCACGAGGUGACGAGAGUCGGUAUGUAACUAAAGCAUGCUUAUGUUCGGGUAGACUUAGUAUUUUAUCAUGUAAUAUUUGAAUUAUUUGAACUCAUUCUGCUGGCUUUAUUAAUUAAAAUUAUAAUUUAACUUGAUUUAGAAACACAUACGUAUAUAUAUUAGGCCGAGCCUUAUCAUCUCUAGUUGUCGGCAAGUUAUUGAGAAACGGUAAAAGUUAUGUUCGCUUUGUGCUAAUGUACUGUAUUGUGAGCACGUGCCUCGUAAUUUGAUAAUUACCUUCCUUUCUUGUGGAGCCAAAUGCCUCGGCAGUAAAAUAGAUGCAUCUAUGGUUCGUUCCGCUCGACUCUAGGCAGUGUACACAUUAUUAUGGAUCGGGUCAUACGACCUCGGCAUAAUCGUGUGUUAUAUCGCUAGCAGUAAGAAUCUUCACGAGACUAUCCUUCCAAUUAUGCUGGAUGAUAAGUAGGGAUUUUAACCUAUUAUUUGCUCUCUUUUACUUUCGUUUUGAGCCAAAAAUGCGUGAAGGUAUUCCCGGAAACUAAUGUAAUAUGCUUGCUAGCAGGGAUUGUUCAAAAUGAGCAAAAGGAGUCAAAAUCAACUAAUAAAGGAGUUAAAACCAGAACAAAAAUGAAGACUGGGCGAAGAAAUCUAAAACGCAGAACACACUAAUAUUGUGCUGCCGCGAUCAGAAAUAUGCGUUCCGCGAAAGGGAGAUUCAUAGAGUUGUAUUUUCAGGGUAAAUGACAAGCGCGAUCCGUGUCAGAAUUAAGCGGCCGCAAAAGUCCAUUAUGCGGCCGUGAUUGAAAUUAUCGGUUCGCAAAACUCAUCUCAACCUAGAUCCAGAUAAGAAGAAUGCAGAGCGCGGUUAGAAUUACGUGGCCGCAAAAUCAAGAAUCCGUUUGCGCUCAGAAUUACGCGGCCGCACAACCUUUGUAGGGAUAUUUUUGUCCGAAAAUUUUAGCGUAAUAUAAAUAGAUUUUUUGACAUUUUUAGGUCAUGUUAUGUAGCAGCAGAGCACGUGAGAUAGCUGGAUAUUCUGUUUUGGGCAAUUUUGUACUAGAAUUAUCUUUCAACAUUAGAUUUUCAUCUUUUGAUCUCGUAUUAUAAAUUUUAUCUUCAUUUCCUCUUUAAUUUAUGUUAUUUCCAUGAGUAGCUAAACCCAUAGCUAGGGUUGUGACCCAACCCUAGUGUGGUUAUUUGAUUUUAGGGCUUGCAUAUGUAUGAGUUAGUGAUAUUUAGCCUAGUUCGUGCUAGAACUAUAGAAUUAGUGGUUGCAAAUACUGAUUCAUGCGUUUAUGACUUAGUCUCUACUUGAGNNNNNNNNNNNNNNNNNNNNNNNNNNNNNNNNNNNNNNNNNNNNNNNNNNNNNNNNNNNNNNNNNNNNNNNNNNNNNNNNNAUAUUACGAUCCCAACUAAUCAUGAGCUUGCCCUAAAUUUUAGUAUACGUUAGAUAUCCACCUAGAUAGAAGUCACGACCCUAGUCUCUUUAAACAUUUGAAAAUCAACAAUAAAAAUAUUGUCCUUAUAUUCAAUUAUUGUAAUCUUUAGAAUAGAGUUAGAAGUAGAAAUCAAACCAAACAUGUGUGGAAGUGUAAUUAAGAGCAAAACCCACAUCUAGACUUAGAUAUAAACCUAAUUCCAAUUAUUAACUCCUUGUGGAUUCGAUCCCGACCUAGCUGGGUUAAAACUGCAUCGACCACCCUCUCUACUCAAUAGAAGUGUAGGCUUGGACCCGAUCAAUUUUUGGCGGCGUUGCCGAGGAGUUAGACGAUUUUAGCUAUAUAUCUAGGUAUUUGUGUGUUUUGUUUUUCUUUCCUUCCAUUUUUAUAAUUUAUGUGUGAAUUUCCGCCCUCAAAAAUUUGCCAUUGGGGAAGGAGGUCGAUGAUGAUCACGUGGAUGAGAUUCAACCUGAAUCUCAAGUACAAAGGACAGGCCGACUAUCUUAUGAUAAUAUUCCAAACACUCCCCCACCUCCUCUAAGGGCAGCACACCAGGUGUUACCUAACGAAGGCUAUGCAAGUGCAAUAGUCCCGCUUUGGAUUAGGGUGGGCAGCUUUCAAAUAACCAAUGCCAUGCUUACAUUGUUGGAACAAUGGGGUUUCUUCACUGGAGCUCCACACCAAAACGCCUACAAGCAUCUCAAAGGUUUUGUUGACACGCACUGGAGGAACAAGCAACCUAACGUCUUCGAUGACACAUUGAGGUAAAGGCUUUUCCUAUUUUAUCUAAGGGGGAAGGCUUUGGAUUGGCUAGAAAGGUUACCCAACCAUUCUAUCAUCACUUGGGAUGAGUUGGCCGAGAAGUUCAUCGCAAAAUGCUUUUCUCCGGGACAUAUGGCGACGCUAAGAGAUGAGAUCCUUGCUUUUAAACAAGAGCCAAAUGAACCGCUGAAUGAGAUUUGGGAAAGGUAUUGGACGAUGGUUAAAGAAUGUUCAAAUAAUGAUAUGACCGAAGCCAUGAUCCAACAAACAUUCUACCCUGGCAUCAACACAACAAAUCAAUGUGUGGUUAACCAACUCGGCGGAGGGAACUUCAGGAACACGCCAUAUGCCGAAGUGUGUGAAAUACUUGAUGAGAUGGCGGAUACAUCCUCGGUGUGGAAAAGUAGAGACAAUAUGCCACAAGGUGACCCUAAUGUUAUUCACCUACACAAGGAGCUACAUGACCAUGACCAAGCUAUAGUCGAGAUAACAACUACCAUGAACCAAUUGGCCAAAGCGCAUUUGUAAUAAGUUCAAGGGCCAAAAUAAGUGAAUGCCAUGGAAGAAGUGAAUAUGAUGAUCAACAAGAGAAGGCCACAAGGUCAACAAGUUCAAAACAAUCUGAAUCUCAAGUGAGUGCCAUUGUAUACUCCAUGGAUCCAAAGUUAGAAGACCCCGGUGCUUUUACAAUCACAUGCACUAUUGGUAAUGCCAAUUUCACCAAAGCUUUGUGUGACUUGAGGGUAAACAUUAACUUGAUGCCAUAUUAUUUAUUCAAGACAUUGGGGAUUGGGCAACCAAGACCCACAUCCAUGAGGUUGCAAAUAGAGGCCAUGACAAUGAAGAGGCAAUUGGGGAUAAUUGAUGAUGUGCUAGUUCGGGUCAACAAGUUCAUACUUCCCGUAGAUUUUGUGAUACUUGACUAUGAGGUUGACUACAAGGUGCCAAUCAUAUUGGGGAGACCUUUCCUAGCUACAGGGAAGGCCUUUAGUUGAUGUGGAAGCUGGGGAGCUCACCUUUCGUGUGGGCGAUGAAAAAGUUGUGUUCCAUGUUUGCAAGUCAAUGAGGCAGCCUAAUAGCAACGAAGUGUGUUCGUUUGUGGAUCUUGUGACCGAAGUGAUUGUUAAAGACACAAAGUGCUAUGAUUAAUGUGGAAGACCUAUUGGAAGCUGUGUUAUUGAAUCGUGAUGUGGAUGAGAAGGAAGGCUUGGUGGAAUAUGGCAAUGCUUUGCAAGGAAUGGGUUCAUAUACAUAUGAGCCCUAAAACUUUCCUUGGGCCUCGAGAACCGGAAGACUCCACCAACAAAGCCCUCGAUCGAGGAGCCUCAUACAUUGGAGUUGAAGCCCUUGCCUUCAAACCUCAGGUAUGAGUUCUUAGGCCCUUGUUCCACUUUUAUUCUUUCCUAAUGCUUAACUAACGUCCAGGUAGAAGCCACCCAUGUGGUGCUCCAAAGGAUCAAGAAGGCAAUAGGUUGGACAUUGGCGGAUAUUCGGGGUAUAAGCCCCGCCUUUUGCAUGAACAAAAUCAUAUUAGAGGAGGAUUUUAAACCCUCUGUGGAACAUCAAAGAAGGUUGAAUGAGGUCAUGCAAGAGGCAGUCAAGAAGGAGAUCAUCAAAUGGUUGGAUGCUGGGGUUGUCUACCCCAUUUCUGAUAGUUCAUGGACUUUAUCGGUGCAAUGUGUCCCAAAGAAGGGGGCAUGACUGUGAUUACAAAUGGCAACAAUGAGUUGAUUCCUACAAGAACUAUCACUGGUUAGAGAGUAUGCGUGAAUUACAGUUAGCUCAACAAAGUGACUCAGAAUACUAUCUUCCGCAUCCAUUUCUUGAUCAAAUGUUGGAUAGGUUAGAUGGACGUGCUUAUUAUUGCUUUUUGGAUGGGUAUUUCGGGAAUAACUAGAUUCUUAUUGCACCUGAAGACUAAGAGAAGACCACUUUCACUUGUCCAUAUGGCACAUUUGCAUUCUCAAGGAUGUCGUUUGGUUUAUGUAUUGCACCGGCUACUUUUCAGCGGUGUAUGAUGGAAAUAUUCACGGAUAUGGUAGAGGACUUCCUCGAGGUUUUCAUGGAUGAUUUCUCUAUUAUGGGGGAUUGAUUUGAUGCAUGUUUGGAUAAUCUAGAUAAAGUAUUGGCACGUUGUGAAAAGAACAACUUGGUACUUAAUUGGGAGAAGUGUCACUUUAUGGUUGAGGAGGACAUUUUUCUCGGCCAAAAUAUCUCCGAGAAUGGUAUUGAAGUGGAAAAAAAAAUUGAAGUGAUAUCAAAACUCCCUCCUCCUACUUCCGUCAAAGGAGUGAGGAGUUUUCUAGGGCACACGGGAUUUUACCAUCGGUUCAUCAAGGAUUUCUCAAAGGUGGUGAACCCCUUGUGCAAGUUAUUGGAAAAAGAUGCAAAAUUUAUGUUCAAUGAUGAUUGUAUGAAGGCAUUUGAGCUACUCAAGUAUAAUUGAUUAUCACUCCCAUCAUUACUGCACCAAAUUGGAGCUUACCAUUUUAGCUCAUGUGUGAUGCUAGCGAUGUGGCGAUAGGAGAAGUAUUGGGACAAAGAAUCAACAAGAUAUUCCAUCUGGUAUACUAUGCUAGUAAGACCAUGAACGAUGCUCAUAUCAACUAUACGGUGACCGAAAAAGAACUUUUAGCCAUUGUCUUUGCUAUGGAAAAGUUCUUCCCAUACCUCAUGGGUACCAAAGUGAUUGUUCACAUCGAUCACGUGGUGCUUCGUUAUUUGAUAAGUAAGAAGGACUCAAAGGCUAGGUUGAUGGGUGGGUACUUCUUCUACAAGAAUUUGAUCUUGAAAUCAUAGACCGAAAAUGGAGUGAGAAUCAAGUGGCGGACCACUUGUCCCGUUUGGAAGAGGUGGGGAGGCCCCAUGAUGACCUUGAGAUUAAUGAUUCAUUUCUGGAUGAACAACUUCUUUCCAUAUCUUUGACCAGGAUGCCUUUUUUUGCUAAUAUGGCUAACUAUCUUGUGAGCAGAACUGUCCCGAAUGAAUUCAUUUCAAACCAAAGAAAGAAGCUCAAACGGGACUGCUUGGAUUGUUAUUGGGACGAGCCAUAUAUUUUCAAAAUUUGCACCGAUGGUGUUAUUUUUAGAUGUGUUCAAGAAGAAGAGCAAUUGGGUAUUCUUAAAGCUUGCCUUUCUUUGCCCUAUGAUAGUGGGGCGAGAACUGCUACAAAGGUCCUAAGUUGUGGAUUCUAUUGGCCUACCUUGUACAAAGAUGCUAGCGAGCUUUUAAGCGGUGUGAUGAUUGCCAAAGGGCUGGUCGGAUUUCCAAGAAGAAUGAGAUGCCUCUCACCACCAUCCUUGAGAUUGAUAUCUUCGAUGUAUGGGGCAUCAACUUUAUGGGUCCAUUUGUGAGAUGCCUCUCACAACUGGAAAUGGGAUUUCCAAGAAGAAUGGGAUGCCUCUCACCACCAUCAUUGAGAUUGAUAUCUUCGAUGUAUGGGGCAUCGACUUUAUGGGUCCAUUUGUGAGUUCGUGUGGGAACACUUGUAUUCUUUUUGCUAUGGAUUACGUUUCCAAAUGGGUUGAAGCUGUGGCUUUGCCCAACAAUGAAGCGGUGGCCUUCUUGAAGAAAAACAUAUUCACUAGGUUCGGCACCCCAAGGGCCAUCAUUAGGGAUGGGGGUUCUCUCUUUUUUUUUCAAAAAAGCCUUUGACACUUUACUCUCCAAAUAUAGUGUCACUCACAAGGUGUCAACCCCCUAUCACCCCCAGGCAAAUGGACAGGUUGAAGUAUCCAACAGGGAGAUCAGGGGUAUUCUAUCCUAGACUGUCAAUGCAAACCGGACUGAUUGGUCAAGGAAAUAUGACGAUGCUUUAUAGGCAUAUAGAACAACUUACACGACUCCAAUUGGUAUGUCUCUGUAUCGGUUGGUAUUUGUGAAAGCAUAUCACCUUCCGGUGGAAUUAGAGCAUAAGGCCGUGUGGGCGUUGAAGAAGUUGAACCUUGAGUGGGAUGUAGUUUCCAAUCUUUAGGUGGAGCAAUUGAAUGAACUUGACAAGUUUCGGUUCCAUGCUUACUCCAGUUCAUCCUUGCAUAAGGACAAGAUGAAGUACCUACAUGAUAAGUAUAUUCGAAACAAAGAAUUCAAAGAGGGUGACCUUGUUCUCUUAUUCAACUCUCUAUUACAGAUGUUUCCGGGAAAGCUAAAGUCUAAGUGGAGCGGUCCCUUUGAAUUGGUGCAUGUGAUUCCUUUUAGUGCUCUUGAUUUGAAAAAAAGAAUGGUGAGAUCUUUAGAGUCAAUGGGCACCGAGUGAAGCACUACCUUGGUAAGGUUGAUGAUGGACAUGUUGUGGCAUUGAUCCAUUUCAAGUGAAUGAUGGAAACAUUCAUCGUGCCGUGAUGUUAAAUCAGGCGCUUCUUGGGAGGAAACCCAUUUAUUUUUAUUUCUUUUGAUUUUCUUCUUAGAGUAGGCAUUCUUUUGGACUAACUGGUUGUGAAGGGUGUGUAGGAAUUGGUUGUGCAGUGCAGGAAAUUAAUAAGGAAAAAGUUGGCUAAGUGGUAAAUCUUGCGGAUCGCGCUCAAAAUUAUGCGGACUGUGCAAGCACUUUGCGGUAUCACAAAUCUGUGCGUGGUCGUGCAGCUGAAAGAUGGAAAUUGCCGAAUCUCUAAAGUUGGCCGGUUGAAACUCCUUAAGACUUUGCGGCCGGGUUCAUAGUUUUGCGGUCGUGCGGCCGCUGCCAAUAUUUCGCGGACCGCGUCUAACUGAGCUACAAACAGGUAAAGAGUGCGGACCACGCCAAAAUUCCGCAGACAUACUCAGGUAAGUCAGUAGGGUCACUGGGUUUAGAGUAUACAUAUGACCUCUUGGAACUAUUCACACCUUACAAUCCCUGACUUCUCACACACACCUAAAACACUGUGCAUUUGUUCUUGCUUUCAAUCUCAUCCCAUUUUCAUUAAGUGUUCAUUUCCUACUUCUUUCACAACUGGUAUGAUUCUUUUCAAUGAUUUAAUUUCUUCUUUUUUCCUUUCUUUUAUCUUUGUUUUAGUUUUCUUUUUAUCUGGGGUUAAAUUCAUGCCAAAAUGUCGAAUUGAUGCUUAAAUCUUGCUUAAAAUCAUAUGGGUAGUGUUAAAAUGCAUAAUGGGGGCUGGGGUUAGUCCAUAAAUUUUGUUUAUUUAGUGAAAACCCUAGUAUCAGGUGUUCAUUAGUGCCGAUGUGAUUUGAACUUCACGGCCGCAGACAUUUUUGUGCGGUUCGCGAUAGGGUAUGCAGCCGCAUACAACAUUGUGUGGUCCGCGAUACCCUAGUUCAGAGGCACUAAUACUUGCUAGAUUUCGUGGACGGGGUCACUUUUGUGCAGUCCGCGAGUGAUCUUUCGCGGCCGCACUCAAUUUUAUGCGGUCUGCGCUUGUUACUUCAGAGACUCAUUGAUUUGUUUCCGCGGCUGCACCCAAAAUUGUGUGUCUCGCGAUGGUUCUUUUGCAACCGCAUUCACUUUUAUGCGGUUUGCAGUAGAUCAACUUCAGAGAGCCAAUAGUCUGAGCCUAAUCUCUUCACGACUGCGUUCACUUUUAUGCGGUCCGCGAUGGGCAGUUCGUGGCUGCACUUACUUUUGUGUGAUCCGCGCUGCCCUGUUUUGAGAAGUAUUGACUUUCAUUUCUUUUGUAAUGCUUUAACACAUGUUGAACCCCAAUCAUAACUAAUUUUCACUACUUGUAUGUUGCAGAAAAUGUUGCGUUCCCGAGGUAUAGGUGAUACUUCAAAAGGGAGGGCAGAGCCCUCCCGAGGAUGGGGUUGGGACAAACCCAACAUACCUCUACCAGUCCAAAAAGUAAUCGGCAAGAAGGAAACCGCCAAUAGAGCCCCGAACACUUCAGACAGUAGUAAAUAUGUCCCAUACGAGGAGGCUUUUGAAGGAAACUCUGGGCAGGCACAGCCAGAAGUCCAGUCCCAACAAAUUCUAGGGAGAUUGCAUUUGGUUGAUAAGUCUUCCUCCUCUCAGGGUUCGGAAGAGGGAAGUGAAGAUUCUUAACCCUCCCCCUCAUAUGCUGCCUCAAUAUCAAUCAAUUUAGAUGAUGAUGACGAAGUCCUGGAUGACGGGAGAGGGGGUGAUACAGUUAUGGGAGGCUUAGCUAGAUCAAGGAACCCGGAGGUGUGGGCGGAUAGGUUUGUUAGUGAGAAAGCUUAUGCCAAAUUUUGGGAAUGGUGGACCCAAAGAUCUCUCACUCUUGAGUGACAAUUCAUAACCAAAGACGUGAGCCAACACAAUCCAAAUGUCCUAAAGCAAUUCUUAGAGAGAAAAAAAUGGAAUUGGUUCUCCGGUCAUCUGCAUGAUGCCAAUGAAUACCUCGUCAAGGAGUUUUAUGCCAAUGUUUCCCACAUCAAAAAGGGUACAAAAGUGACGAAGGUCCGAAAUUUGAAACUCCGAUUUGAUGGCCAAGCACUGAACAUAUAUGUAGGGUUUGAGGAGGUUGAGUCAGCGCAAUACUUGGAGAAGCUAGCCUUGGGUGAGGCAGUUCGCCCAUGGCUAGCUGAGUUACUUGCUAUUUCGGGGUCGACACCUGUAUGGUUCACAGCAGGAGUGCCAAUCCUCAGAAACACCCUUAACUUUGAAGCAAAAGUGUGGCAAACAUUUGUGUGCAGCCGUCUUGACCCUUGCCUGCAUGACCAUGUCCUUCCACUUUCCCAAGAGGUGUUGGUAGCUUCUAUCAUGGCAGGAUAUCCUAUAAUUGUAAGAAACUUGAUGUCCUACAACAUCUCCAAUGCAGUAUAUAAAGAAGAAAGAUCUUAUCCCUACCCAACUUCCUGACUGACUACUUCAAGGAACAAGGGGUUGAGCUGAGAUACUUUAAUGCGGAGGUGAAGGCUAAAAAGCCUUUCUCAUAGUAUACCCUCUAGGGACCGGACAACCCUAAAUUCAAGGGAAAAGCCACUACCUCCACUGGCUAGUCUAAAGAGCCAGGGGUAGUGGCCACAGGACUAGUUAUCGAGCCCUUCACAGCCACCGGUACUUCUACCGGAGCAUCAAGUAUGCCUCCUCCAUCUUCAGUGCCACUAUCAAUGCCUUUAUAUUCUACCUACCCUCAGACUGCACUGAGGGUUUCCCAGACACUGUUUAGUCUCAACAACUGGAUGCAGGCAGCUACCACAAAGCUGACUGCCUUAUCCAGUGCAGUGGCAGCACAGUCUUCAGUCCCAGCAUAGCUUCAGGUACCUCCAUCAGUAGAAGACUUAUUGAAGAAGAUUCUGGACAACCAGAAGAAGAUUCUGGAUGACCAGAAGAAGAUCAGGGAGACUCUUGAUGCACAUGGAAGGUAAUCAAGGAUCUAGGGAAGCAAGUGAGGAAGGCGAAGAAGACUCAAAAGGAAUCGAUCGGGAAGUUGGCUAAGGAGACUGAGAAGAUUUCACAUGCAGGAGACUUGACAAUAGACCUUUUGAUGGAGAAGACAGUCCCAGCAGCACAUGCAGCAGAGCCUGAGGCACCAGGGAUAGCAGCCGGCCAGUCUGAGGAGCUAGCUGCAGCAUCACACACUGCUGAGGAGCUGAUCCAGAUACUCAGCAACCCUGUAGUCCCCCAGUCAGAGGAUCAGGAGAUACAGUUAGAGGAUGCUGAGGACAUUGUUCAGGCUAAGGACCCGAUGCAGACAGAGACCGCAUAUGGAGUUUUCUUUACUCUUUACCCCAUUUUCCCUGUUCUUAUUUGUUAUUAGCAUUGAGGAUAUUGCUAUCUUUCAUUUGGGGGGUGGUCCAUUUUGAUUUAUGACAUUUGGUAUGUAAUAACCAUUACACUAUUUUUCUUUAUCGUUAUUUUCACUUUUGGUAUGUAUAUAUUUUUACCAUUUGAUGUAUAUAUUCAUUUACAUUUAUGUAUAUAUUCGCUUAACUUCAAGUUUGUAUAUAUUCAGUUUAAUUUUCAUAGUUUACUUCAUAUCUUCUUUCGUUAUUUUCCCUUAUUAGCAUAGCUUCUUAUUUCCUUUAGUAGCUUCUUUUUAAGUGGUUAGCUUCUUCUUUUAUGUUUAUUCUGAACAAUAAGCUUUUUGUUUUCUUAAUGCCAUGGUUCUUUCCAAAGGUGGAUGUUGUGUGAACCGUGUGGUUCUUCCCAACGAUGGAUGGCGUGACAACCUUCUUAAGGGAUUGAGUCCAUUUUAUUUAUGUUUUGAUGUAAAUAGUAGUGAUGAAUAAAAGUAUCUCAAGCAGGCUUCACUUGGUACUAACACAUUUAUCUUUGAGCUUAUGGUUAGAAACAAGUUGAUUGGCAAAGAAUAGUUCUACUUGUGACCUUUAGACUCUUGUGUUGACUAAAACAAUCAUCGAGUGGUUUCUUUGAGCCAUUUGAGAUGUUCAAUCUUAGCUAGGGUUGUUGUGGGACCUCGACUCUGUCUCUUUAAAAAUCCAGCAGCUUGAGAGGUGAGGUAUUGAAUGCAAGUCUAAGUUCCGUGCCAAUAAGUCUAGAACUUGCUCUGAAUGUUUGUCUAAGAGAAAUUCUAAGUGUAGCUCGACUUGAGAAAUGAUUGUAGCCUCUCCUUGAUCCAACUUGAAACUUGAAAGCUUUCGUAGCCUACCAAUAUGAUAUCCCUAGUCAACCCCUUUGAGACGAAGCCCUUUUUCUUUCAAUAACCACGUUACAAGCCUUUAUCCAUUCUAUAAUGACCCUCUCUUGGCACCCGAUCUUUCCUUGGCAUUUCUUGAUAGACAAGUGGCAAAAGUAUAAGUUUGGGGGAGAGACGAGGAAUGUGAAAGUGAUAAAAGGUACAAAGAACAAAAAGAAAUGAAAAAAAGGGAAGGAAAAGGAAAAGAAAGAAAAUCCAAAAAGAAAUAUGUCAAAAAGAAAGUGAAUAAGAUAGAAAAGUGAAGGGAUUCAAAGAAAGCAAUGAUAAAAGGCAUGGAAUGAUUAGAAAAGGAGAAAAAUGAUUGUCAUGAGCAAGAAAGAGUGACAGUGUGUCUCUCUAGUUCCCCUAAGGAAGAAGAAAAUGACUCAAAGAGUCAAGAAAGUAUGAGCCAAAAUGAGAAAAUGGAGUGCUUAAGGAAAGAUGAAACCAUCAUAUGCCGAUAAGUCCUACCUUGAUCCAAAAGUCUUCAUUAUAUUCACGCAAAACCCUAUAUGAUUUCGAGUUGAGUGAGCUUAUAUUAGUUGGGAUUUACAUAAGAGGCAAGCUUAUGGUACUUAGAGCCGGACUUGUGGCAUUCUUUUGAGAGAGAUGAGCGUACUUCUUCACAAUCCUUGUUUUUUGAGUGUUAUGAUUCUAAAGUGAGAUUUGCUUAUGGAGAGUAGAGGAGAAGGAAUUUGGGUUCCACAAUGACCUACGUAAUAGAGCGAGUUUCCUUGGUGAACUAAGUCAAUUCUUGAUGCUCUAGUAUCGCAUUAGAACUAUGGUACUCAAAAGGUAAAAACAUUGUGUUAUUGAUAAUUCAUUUGUGUUGAAGGUAAUUGUUCGUCCCAAUUGAUGCAUGAUUGGUUCACCUUAGGGCAGCUGAACUAUCCUUCUAUUUUAGUGGAGGUGGGAAUUACCUUUUUUUUAGGACAAGCAAAAGUUUAAGUUUGGGGGAGUUGAUAAGUAGGGAUUUUAACCUAUUAUUUGCUCUCUUUUACUUGUAUUUUGAGCCAAAAAUGCAUGAAGGUAUUCCUGAAAACUAAUGUAAUAUGCUUUCUUGCAGGGACUGUUCUAAAUGAGCAAAAGGAUUCAUAAUCAACUAAUAAAGGAGUCAAAACCUGAACAAAAACCAAGACUGGGCGAAGAAAUCUAAAAUGCGGACUCCAUUAAUAUUUUGCGGCCGCAAAAGCCACAAUGCGACAGUGAUCAGAAAUACGCAAUCCGUGAAAGGGAGAUUCAGAGAGUUGUAUUUUCAGGGUAAAUGACAAGCGCGGUCCGCGUCAGAAUUACGCGGCCGUAGAAGUUCAUUACGCGACCGCGAUUGAAAUUAUGCGGCCCAUGAAACUCAUCUCAACCCAGAUCCAGAUUUGAAGAACGCGGAGCGUGGUGAGAAUUACACGGCUGCAAAAGCAAGAAUGCGGCCGCGCUCAGAAUUACGUGGCCGCACAAGCUCUAUAGGGGUAUUUUUGUCCGAAAAUUUCAACUCAGUAUAAAUAGAUCUUUUUGACAUUUGUAGGUCAUGUUAUGUAUCAGCAAAGCACGUGACGGCUGGAUAUUCCGUUUUGGGAAAUUUUGUACUAGAAUUAUCUUUCAACAUUAGAUUUUCAUCUUUUAAUCUAGUAUUAUGAAUUUUAUCCUGAUUUCCUCUUUAAUUUUUGCUAUUUCCAUGAGUAGCUAAACUCAUAGCUAGGGUUGUGACUCAACCCUAGUGUGGGUAUUUGAUUUUAAGGCUUUCAUGUGUAUGGAUUAGUGAUAUUUAGCCUAGUUCUUGCUAGAACUAUAGAAUUAGUUGUUGCAAAUACUAAUUCAUGUGUUUGUGACUUAGUCUCUACUUAAGAAAGAGGGACUAAGUCUAGGAAAACUAAGCUAACAAGCAAUUGGGUAAACUCAAGAAAUUGAUAGCCCCAAUUAAAAGGUUAAACCUAGAGAUAGUAAUACCCGACUUGAGCUAAUAUCACUUGAAUUGCAUGAAUACCUAUUUGGACUUGAGAAAGCCAAAUUGGGCAAAAUCAUUCAAAUUACAUAGAGGUAUAGAGUGAGUACCCGGGUGUGAUAGCUAUAUUACGAUCCCAACUAACGAGCUUACCCUAGAUUUUACUAUCCGUUAGAUAUUCACCUAGGUAGAAGUCAUGACCCUAGUCUCUUUAAACAUUUGAAAACCAACAACAAAAAUAUUGUCCUUAGAUUCACUUAUUGCAAUCUUUAGAAUAGAGUUAGAAGUAGAAAUCAAACCAAACAUGUGUGGAAGUGUAAUUAAUAGCAAAACCCGCAUCUAGACUUAGAUAUAAACCUAAUUCCAAUUAUUAACUUCCUAUGGAUUCGAUCCCGACCUAGUAGGGUUAAAACAACAUCGACCAUCCUCUCUACUCAAUAGUUGUGUAGGCUUGGACCCGAUCACUCGGCACUUCAUAUUGUAUUUCUUUAUACAUUUGAUACUGGCUCUUGAUAUAUCUGAGUUGUUGAGAUAGAAAUAUGAGACUAAGAUAUUUAUAUAUAUAAAAGAAAUUUUUAGAAGAUUAUGUGAUUUACGGUGUUACCCUAUUGUUGUUGUUGUGCUUUACAUCUGCUUAUGAUUUACCAUAUUGCUUUAUUGGACCUCUAGUAAGUGUCGAUGUCGACCCCUCGUUACUACUUCUCCGGGGUUGGGCUAGAUACUCACUAGAUACGCAUUGAUUUACAUACUCAUGAUGCACUUCUGCACUAAUAUGCAGGAUCUAAUACGUUUAAUUGGUGGUCAUCUUGGGUGCGUAGGCGUAGCUGCUGAGGAGACUUUAUGGUGAGCUACAAAUUCUAGGCUACAUAUCGCAACCCAUAGAGUCUCCAUCGUACUAUUUACUUAUUCCUAUAUUAUUCAUAUUCUAGAAAAAUUUAUAUUAUUUUGUACUCUUUAGUAAAUGCUCAUGCACAUGUAACACCGGGUUUUGAGGUAUUCAGUAAAUUGUUUGUGGUUUGCCUAGCAUUUACACUCUUUUGUUAUUUAUUCUAUUUAAAUUGUAAGUUGCCAUGAUUUUAAGUGUUGAUUUCUUUAUCUAAUAAGAUUCACAAUUUCGAAAGUAAUAAAAAUGAAUAAUUACGUGUUGGCUAGCCCAACAGCGACGUUGGGCGCAAUCAAGACCUAUAGUGGAUUUUGGGUCGUGACAACUUGGAAUCAGAGCUCUAGGUUCACUUGAGUCUUACAAGUCAUGAGCAAGUCUAGUAUAGUCUUGCGGAUCGGUACGGAGACGUCGGUACUUAUAUUCGAGAGGCUACAGGGAUGUUAAGAGCACUUCCCUUCUUGAUUCCUCAUCGUGUGAUUUGAUUCCUUUGAGGUUUAUUCCUUUAUUUCCUUCUUACUCAAUCUUAUGCAAUGUGAAGUGCUUGUUAUCAAUAGGGAAUCAAGGAGUUGUAGUGGUACUGCAGACUUGGUUCAGGAUGUUGUGACGUCCCAAAUUACCUCCUGAUGUGACUGGCACCCAGCUAACACCACUUGCCAGGCAAACCCAUUUCUCUAACGUUUAAUCAUUUAUACAAACACCGAGAGAAAAAGUGCAGGCCUAAAAGUACUAUUAAUAAUUAAAGAGAAAAUGAUUAUCGCCCAAUACCUUAGUCAAUUGAUAGAAAAACCAACAAUCACUCAAAUAAUAAAACUCUAGCCCAAAUCCCACACUAAGACCAUAGAGCAUCUAACAGAGUAAUAUGAGUUUUAUUGACGGGUAUGCAAACCCCAAAGAAAAAGGAAAUAACUAACCCAAAUUAAGUCUAAAACGAAAGCCUCCGCGAAUAAUGUGGUGGCUCACCUCAACAAUAGGAUCCACUCAAAUAAACUCGUCAGCCACUAGCUCUAUCUCCCGAAACAGUAUCUGCAUAGAGAUGCAGGUAAGGAAUGCGUUAUACGUAAAUAUAACCCAGUAAGAUCUUUGAUCCGCCACUUUAAAUACCUCUGGAACAAGUGUUAAAAAAUACAAACACACCACAACACGAAUGAUAUAGUAAAUAUGAUAAUUAUAUAAUAACUCAAUAUAUGUGUAUCAAUAUUUUUAAUAAGAAUUAACCAACAAGAGUACCCACUAAGGACUUGUCCUAAUUGCAGUGAAACAAAUUUACCAACACAUCUACGAGUCCACAACGGCACCACAAUACCUCAAAUAUGUAACAAAUCUACACAAUGCUCACUGAAACAUACACAAUGCCCCAAAUAUAUCAAGAAGCAUACACAAUGCUCGGGUGAUGAAUAAAGGCAUACACAAUGCCCCAAAUAUAUCAAGAAGCAUACACAAUACUCGGGUGAUGUAUAAAGGCAUACACAAUGCCCCAACAUCAUGGCGCACAACUUAUCAAACACAAUACCAUGGCUCACAGCUGUAUCAAACUAUCAAACUCAACAUCAUGGCGCACAACCAUAUCAAACUCAACACCAUGGCUCACAGCCGUAUCAAACUAUCAAACUCAACAUCAUGGUGCACAGCCGUAUCAAACUCAACACCAUGGCUCACAGCCGUAUCAAACUAUCAAACUCAACAUCAUGGCUCACAGCCAUAUCAUGCCAUCAAACAACUUAUAAAAUAUUUUUUUUUUGUAUUUUUUAUAAAAAUAUAUAUUUGCGGAUAGUCUAAGACCACCGAUUCUGCCAAGCGCACGCUUGUCCCAACACAUGGGUCAGGCAGAAAAAAACACAUUUUUAAAACGGAUUUUAGAAAAGUAAGCAUUAAAUCUUAAAGUCUCACUUACCUCGCUAAUAAAAAGUUCCCUAACCUUGCAACGUCUAAAACACUAACCAAACGGCCUCCAAUGGCCUCAAUCUAUUCAAAAUAUUGAAUAACAUAUCUUAAUUAGUCUAGGUGCAUGAUUUCAAUACUCUUAGGGCAAGUUAAAAUCAAAGUUAACCCCCCAGUCUAAUUAAUAAAAGUUUGUACACAAUUAAAUACCAAAUCAAGCACUUUAGCAGUGCAAAAAAAAUCUGAAUUGUGGCUUCUAAAGUUUCGAAGUGCUACUACUUACGCUUGAAAUUCACCACUAUUUUGUUAUACCAUUUCACAUGCCAUCAUCCUUACACAAUAAUAUGCCUUCCUCAUUAUUAGACAAUCAAUGGGUGGCAAUUAUGCCUUACAUUAAAAAUUAAAGAGCAUGGAUUGUAGUAGCAGAAUUCGAAAGCUUAUUUACAGUAGCUUUCCAUGGCGGUUGCCUUUCAAAAAUCAAUUUUUCAUUCCACUAAUUACUCAAAUCAUAAGCAAGUUGUGUUUGUCCCCCAUCAUUAACCUAAUUAUUGUAAUUCAUAAUCAUUUAUAAAGAGCAACGGAAACUGGAGUACUCACCAAGUAUCCAAAAAUUAUUUCUUAUGGCAAGAUUUCAAUCCACUAGUCAUUAAUUCAUUACUACUAUUAAUCAUGAUGAUUCUAAGUUCUAUUCUGAAGUUUAAUUUCUUUUACAAACUCACCUCUGGUUCUAUGAAAAGAUUCCAACCAUGAUAGUAAUCAUUAUAAUGAUAUAAUGAUUUAAAUUGGAUAUAUAGGAGAAUGAUAUGCAUAUACCUUGUUAUAAUUUCCUCCCCAAACUCUUUCCAACUGUGAUAGGUGCAGUAGUAUGCCCUAGAACUCUUUCUCGUGGUUUUAGCUUUUUGAUUUUUCUCUCUCUCUCUCUCUCAUAAUUAUGACCUAAUUUACUCCUUUUCCUUGCACCUUAGGUUUUUGAACGUGGGCCACGUAUGGGUUUAGCCUAUUAUUUUUUACUAUUAUUUAAUGUCCUAAAUAUUUUAUUAUCCAAUCUAAUAUAUGUAGUAGUAAAUUAGGCUCACUAACCAUUAAAUAAAUUUUAAAACUCACACAUUAACAAGUAUGUAUAAAAAUUUCAGAAUUGCAUUCUCCCCCACUUAAACGAGCGUUCGUCCUCGAACGAGUUAGAAAAUGUACCAGGCAUCUCAAACAACUGGGGGUACUUGCUUCGUAUGUACACUUCAGACUCCCACAUAACUUUCUAUGUUUGAUGAUUACGCCAUAAUACUUUCACUGAAGCAAUCUUCUUCGAUCUCAAUUGCCGCACUUGCCUAUCACGAAUAGUUAUCGGACAUCCUUCAUAAGUUAAGUUCUCAUCAAGAUCCACAUGCUCGGGCUGAAUCUUAUGACUAUCCUCACGAACAUAUCAUCUAAGCAUAGAUACACAAAAAAUAGGAUGAACUGUAGACAACCUCGGAGGUAAAGCAAGUCUAUAUGCUACUGAUCUAAUUCGAUCUAAAAUCUCAUACGGACCAAUAUACCUCGGACUUAGCUUGCCUCUACGCCCGAAUCUCAUGACUCCUUUCAUGGGUGACAUCUUCAAAAAUACUUGUUCUCCCCUCAUGAACUCCAAAUCACGAACUCGCUUAUCUGCAUAGGACUUUUCUCUGCUUUGUGAUGUUCAAAGUCGUUCUCGUAUCAAUGCUACCUUCUCCAAAGCUUGCUGAACCAAAUCCGGACCCAAUAGUUGUGCUUCACCAAGUUCAAACCAUCCAACUAGUGAACGACACUUACGACCAUAUAGGGCUUCAAACGACGCCAUUUGAAUACUCGACUAGUAGUUGUUAUUAUAAGCAAACUCUGUUAACGGGAAUUGAUCAUCCCAAUUACCACCAAAAUCAAUCGCACAAGCUCUAAGCAUGUCUUCUAAGAUCUGAAUAACCCGUUCGGAUUGUCUGUUCGUUUGUGGAUGGAAAGCUAUGCUCAACUCAACCUGAGAACCAAAGGACUUCUGAAGGACUUCCAAAACCCAGCAGUAAAGUAUGCACUCCCAUCUGAUAUUAUAGAAAUGGGCACACCAUGAAGUCAAACUAUCUCACGAAGGUAGAUAUGUGCCAAUUAUUCUGCAGUGUGAGUAACUCGAACCAAUAUAAAAUGCGUGGACUUUGUGACUCUGUCCACGAUCACCCAUACUAAAUCAUGUUUUCUAAAAGUACGUGGCAACUCAACUACAAAAUCUAUAGUAAUCAUUUCUCACUUCCACUCCGGGAUAAUUAAAUUCUGCAUCACACCGCUUGAUUUUUGGUGUUCAUAUUUUACCUGCUGACAAUUUAAGAAACUAGUUACAUGUUUCAAAAUAUCAUACUUCAUACCUUUCCACCAGUAUAAUAGUCGCAAGUCUUGAUACAUUUUAGUAGCACCUGGAUGGAUAGAGUAGUGGGAGCUAUGAGCCUCUUCAAGAAUCAUCUGCUUCACAUCAUCCACCAUAAGGAUGAAUAAUCUACAAUGUCUACAUAACACACCUUCACUAUCAAUAGCAAAUGACUUAAUACCACCAUUAUGUACUCGAUCUCGGAGUCUAGCAAGAUGGGGAUCUUCAUAUUGACGAGCAUUGAAAUGUCCAACCAAGGACGAUUGUGCUACCAAACCUGCAAGUAACAUGCUCGGUACUGUAUGAUCAAUACACAAUCCCCAAUUGGCCAAGUACUAAAUAUCCAUAACAAUAGGCCGUUCUCCAGCAAUAAAUCGGGCAAAACUACCCAUAGACUUCCCACUCAAGGCGUCUGUCACCACAUUCGCCUUCCCAGUAUGAUAUAAAAUAGUAAGAUCAUAAUCUUUAAGUAAUUGUAAUGACCGUCUCUGCCUAAAUUUAAAUAUCUUUGCUUGAAUAUAUAUUGCAGACUCUUGUGAUCAGCAUAGAUUUCACAUGGCUCACCAUAAAGAUAGUGGCGCCCUAUCUUAACUACAAAUAUGAUCGCAGGCAAUUCUAAGUCAGGAGUCUGAUAAUUCGUUUCAUGGUUCUUUAGCUGUCAAGAAGCAUAUGCUACCACCUUGCCAUUAUACAUCAGCACACAACCCAAACUAACUCUAGACGCAUCACAAUAAAUAGUAAAACCACUUGACCUGUAGGUAGUGUCAAAACUGGAGUUGUAGUCAAUGCGGUAUUCAAUUUCUAAAAACUUUAUUCACUCUUAGGUGACCACUGAAAUGCAACACCUUUCUGAGUUAAUCGUGUCAAUGGAGCAGCCUUUGAGAAACUCUCAACAAACUUUAUGUAAUAUCCGGCUAGGCCCAAGCAGCUACAUAUCUCUGUAGGAGUAGUGGGUCGAGGCCAUUUCUCGAACUACCUCUAUCUUCUUUGGAUCAACUUAAAUUCCCUCUCGUGACACCACAUGUACCAAAAUGGAAACUUUACCCAACCAAAAUUCACACUUUGAGAACUUGGCAUAAAGUGUUCGUUCUCUCAGUGUCUGUAGCACAACUCUCAAGUGUUGUUCAUGUUCUGCCUCACUUCGAGAGUAGACCAAAAUGUCAUCAAUAAAUACAAUCACAAAAUGAUCUAAGAAUGGCUUGAAUACUCUAUGUGGUCCAUAAAGGUUGUGGGGGCAUUAGUAAGACUGAAGGACAUUACCAAAAAUUUAAAAUGUUUGUACCUUGUCCAAAAAGCUAUCUUGGAUAUAUCCUCGGUCUUAACUCUCAGCUAAUGGUAACCCGAUCUCAAGUCAAUUUUUGAUAAAUUAGUAGCACCCUGUAGAUGGUCGAAUAAAUCAUCAAUACAUGGCAAAGGAUAUUUAUUCUUCAUCAUCACCUUAUUCAGUUGCUUGUAAUCAAAACACAUUCUCAUCGUGCCAUCUUUCUUUUUCACAAAUAGCACAGGUGCACCCCAAUGUGAUAUACUAGUCCUGAUGAAUCCCUUAUCAAGUAGCUUUUGAAGUUGAACCUUUAAUUGUAGUAACUCAGAUGGAGCCAUCUGGUAUAGAGAAAUAGAGAUAGGUCGAUUUCCUAGCACCAAAUGAGUACUUAACUCAAUUUCUCUCGUUGGAGAUAGCCCGGUUAAAUCUUCUGGAAAAACAUCAGCAAAUUCUCGAACCACUGGAACGCUGUCAAUAGUAACAUCAUCCGAUCAGGUAUCAUGAACGGUAUCAAUAAAACCCAAACACCCAUUAUUAAUCAUUCGACGUGCUUUUACAUAAGAUAUUAUCUUUCCCUGAGUCAGUGGAGUUAUUCCCUUCCACACUAAACAAGGUUCCAUGGGAAAAUCAAUGUGUAAGUUUGGCAUGAUAAUCAAUUGAAGAAUAACAUGACGCUAACUAAUCCAUACCCAUAACACACUAGUAUAUCAACUACUGUUUCCUUGCCCUAAAUAAAUAUCACACAAUCUCUUUAGACUCUAUCCACAUAUAUAGUCUCCCCCCUCAGGGUCACCAUGAUAUAUGGCACAUUAAGAGAUUCACCUCCUCGUUCUAAGUAUAUAGCAAAAGAUGGGGAUACAUAUGAAUAUGUAGAACUAGGAUCAAUAAGAGCAUAAGCCCCAUAAGAACUGAUAGUGAUAAUACAUGUGACUACUGCAUUGGAUGCCUCGGCAUCCUGCCUAGACAUAGAAAAGUAUCUCGACAGUCCACCCACUCCCUGAGCAGCCUGUACACCCUAUCGACCCUGUCCACGAGCAACCUGCGGAGCGGCUCUAGUUGGCUAAGUCUAAACAUGUCUACCUGUAACAUUUCUCUGAGGAUGUGGGGUAGAAUGGCUAGUAGCAGAAUUUCCUCUAGGACAAUACUUCGCCAAUAUGCCCUUUCUAACCACAAGUAAAACAAGCCCCAUCUGUUCCAAAACAACAACCACUGUGAUUUCUACCACAAUUCAACACCUCGGAUGUUGACCAGACUGAUAUGAGCUAUUAUCCUUCCUUUGUAUCUGUUGCUUCCCAUGUCUAGCUGGAUAGGUACUCCUAGAAGAUUGCACCAUUGACUCAAACUGAGUACAUCUGGACUGCCCACGAUUAAAACCACUCUUGCCCCCUAAUGGAGCUCCACUAAACCCGCCGGCGCUACGAGUCCUUUUGCUUUCUCGCUCGAUCAUGUCACUCUCCUGAUAGGACUCAUAACGGAGAGCAAUGUCAACUACCUCUUCAUAUGAACCACCUCGAACAUCACUAACCACCGGUACACAGUAACGAUGCUCAAGCCUGUCCACAACCCUCCUCACCUUCACAUGCUCGUCUGCAACUAAAAAAGGUGCAUAACUGGCUAAGUCAGUGAACUUAGCCUCAUGCUCGGUAACUAUCAUAUUGACCUAGCGCAGUUGCUCGAACUAACAUCUCAUGUCUUCUCUCUUGCUCAGUGGAAUGAACCUAUCCAUAAAUAUAGCUAAAAACUCUGACCAAGUAAGAGUUGUGGGCAUGUAUGACUUGUAAGGAGCCUACCCCUUGUAAGGAGCCUGUUAAUGAUGUAGAUGAGACUAGAUCACUUGAUGUUUAUAUGUGGUGUAGUUGAAAGCAUAUGGAGUAAGCUGCUCACCUGGCAAGGCAUAACAAGGCCUGCAAUGGAGUGACAUAGGGAGAUACGAUGGGUAGAAGACAAUGCAAAAGGAAACACUACAGCUGCACAACUAUACAGAUUGACAUUGGCAUGUGAUGUAUAUAAUAUAUGGAAGGAACAAAACAGGAGAGUAUUUCAAGAGCAAUAGAAGACACCGGGAAUGAUAGUUAGGCAUAUUGUGCAAGAGGUUGUUAACAUGGGAUCAAAAAAGAGCAAACAAGAGAAGAAAAUAGCUGAAAUGAAUUUCUAUCCUUAGGCUUUAGUACAGAUGUUGAGUUGUUGAAGUUGUAUGAGAUCGGGUUGUCCAGCCUCAGUUUUGACAUUAUACAUAUUGAUACUGGUAAAUAAAAUUAUUUAAUUACCAAAAAAAUAGUUUUCAACCCUGCUCGUCUACCUCUCUGAAUUGAAUGCCACCACGACUCUUCAGAACCUGAAAAUAGAAAAGUGGCAAAUUCCACCACUCGAGUCUCCUUCAGCCUUAAUGUAGUUAGUAUCUUUUCACAAUACUGAAUGAACUUCUAGGGCUCAAUAUAAGCAUGUGUAGCGUCGAACUCUGGUGGCUUAAGAUCCAUAAAAUUCUUAAGAUCCUUAGACUUCCCUGCAUUUGUAACUUGUUGAACAACCUGCUGAGAGGCCAUCUCAGGAGCUGCAACAUUCAGCUAAACCUGUGCUUGCGCCUGCGAAGUAGUCUGGGGAGCUGGAAGUCCACCCUGAGUAGGUACUAAUGCCUCUAAUACAUUCAACAACCUCACCACUGCAUCUGCAGGUAGGGUAAUAGUAGGCACAGCAGCAGGCACUGGUGGUGGAGCAUCAUGAACCACAUAUUCUUACACUCGAUCCAGCAUAGUAGCUUGGGGUUGACCCGUGUUCACAACUUCAAGAUGCGGAGCAGCCUGUCUACUAGUUUGAUGAGCCACAACUUGACCGCCAUAUCGAGUAGUUCUCUGUCUUGCACCACGUCUAGAAGAUGAAAGUGUGAAUGUCCUAUACAUCUGCGAAAGAAAUCCUCCAAAGUCAAACUCAAGAUAUCUCAAUGCACGAUCAAGGUAUGAAAGAAGGGAAAAUAUUCUAAAUGCUUAGUAGCAGAUCAUAAGCAUGGGCGCCUACAUACCCAUGAACAAGACUCUACUAAAUAGUGCUCUAUGACCUGGGACUUAAAGCCUAUGCUCUGAUACCAACUUUGUCAUGUCCCAAACUACACCCUAGACGUGACUGGCACCCAGCUAACACCACCUGCCAGGCAAACCUCUUUCUCUAACGUUUAACCAUUUACACAAACAUUGAGAGAAAAAGUGCAUGACUAAAAGUAUUAUUAAUUAUUAAAGAGCAAAUGAUUAUCGCCCAAUACCUUAGUCAAUUGAUAGAAAAACCAACAAUAACUCAAAUAAUAAAGCUCUAGCCCAAAUCCCACACUAAGACUGUUGAUACCCAAUUUUGCUCUCAUAUUUUUUCAAAUAAUAUAAAUAUGUUUAAAACAUCAUUUGCAUCAGUAUUUAGUUUACAAAUCUAUACAAGCAUUAUUAUAAAAUUUUCCAUAAUUUUUAGUGUUUUAAAAUUAAUUUUCCUACAUUUAAAUUACAUGAAUAAUUUACUAAUUACUCCUUUCGAUUAUUUUGUGAUGAUCUAAUCACCUAAAAUUAUUACUUGCACCUAUAAUACAUGUUUCAAAUAUUUUAUUCUAUUUUUAUAUAAUUACAUUAAUAUUUUUAAGCUAUUUACACAAUUUUGCAGUAAUAGCUUAUAUUCAUACACAAAUGCUCUUUACUUAUAUUAUUUAUGUCAAAAUAGCAUUUUAUAUUUUUAUAAUUCUAAGUCAUUAUUUUAAAUAAUUUUAGUGCAUAGAAAAUAUUUUUAUAUAGUUAUUAAGCAUUUUUAUAAAUUAUGUGUAUUUAAAAGGCUGGCCCAAACUUUAAGCCAAUUCUCAGACCAAAAUUAGCCCAGCAACUUCUGCCCAAUAACCCCAAUCCCAUUUUUAUGACCUGCCCCAUUCAUUUUAAAUCAUAGCUAUUGAUCUUUCAAGAUCAACGGCCCUCAUUCAUUCCCCCGUAUUAAUUAACCUAACCCGCCCCCAAAACCCUAUCAUUUCUUCUCAGACGCCACCUUUGAAACCUCUCCUCUCUUCUCCUCAAAACCCUAGCCUCCCUCUCAAUUUUUCUCCAAAUUCGUCUUAACCAUGGAUUCUUUCCAUGAUUUCUUUGCCUUUCAUAUGUUAUCUCAUUAUUACCUACAAGACCAUGGCAAGUACUAUCUCUCAGAUUCUUGACGUUCAACUUCAAUUGCUUGAAUUUGGAAAAAAUCUUGUCCAUAUGUAUCAUGGCAAGGCUAUAUUUGGUCCGAUUAGCCAAGAUCUCAUGCGAAUCUCUGAUUUCUGUCAACUAGGGUUAACCUAAUUUUCCCUAAUCUGACUUUUACUGAUUCCUCUUGAUAUUAUUUCUUUAUUUAUAUUGAUUUUAUAAUAUUUCCUUGUUUGUUUGCCGAAUUUCUACUGCUAUAUAAACCCCUCCUCAUUCCCCUUUAAGACGGACCUUUAAUUGAUAGGUUUCACUAAAAAUUUGAAACUAUUUUUCUAUUAUUCCCUCAUUCUCUUGUUCUAUACUUUGGUUCUUGGCCGGCUGAAAGCCAAGGCCACUGGGAUUUGAUUUUUUAACCUUUUCUUGGUGCGAGCACUGCCCGGGUUCCUUUGAAGCCCUUGGGAACUUUGACGCAAUAAGAUUCUGGAUUCUUGCUCUUUGUUGAUUCAAAAUACAGUGGAAUUUUGUUCUUUAUUGUUGUCCGUUUAACUGGUAAGUCACUUGACUUUUGCAAUUUUGUUCUUAUGUUUCUAUGAUUUGCAUAUUCUUACUUCUGAAAGUCACAACUUACUAUGUUAGCAUUUGAAAGUAAUCUGAACUUUCCUAUCACUUGAGUUUAUCUAAAGCAGCCAAUUUUGAGAUAUGUUAUUUGUUUAUGCCUAAUUUGGAUAAUUUGGAUCCUCUUAAGUUAGUUUAGCAAAUGUAUUGGUGCCUGAAUGUUCACAUUUGUUGCUGGGCAUGAACAUGCUUACUUGCUUCGUUCUGAAUCCUUGUAAUGAAUGUCUCACAUCUGUAAUGUGUUGUAACAUAUGUUAAGACCUUCACUGUUAACGAUGACUUUCUUCCCUAUUAUUAUGUCACUCAGAAUGUCUUUAGCUCACUUGAUUCCAUACCCCUAUGGUGAUUACUUGAGAUUUUAGAGUAGUUAUCUCAACCUGUGUUUCCCUGCCAUGUUUGAACUGCUUUGUUUCAUGAUGUGAGUUAACAUGUUUUUCUUUUGAAAUUAUGAUGAAUCCCUAGAAUAACUAGGACCUUUAAGCCUUUAAUUUCGUGCCCUACUUAGACUUGUUUAAUAAUAUGCACCUUAAUAUGACAGCCUGUCAAAUCUUGCAAACUUGAUCCCCCUAACUCUUGCAAUGUUUCUGCCAAUGUGUUAUGUUCCUAAGUGUUGAACCUGCUUCUAAACUGUUCUAGGUUAUCAACUUUGCUAUUCCUAUUUUUUUUUAAAAAAAAAACUAUAAGUGUAUUAUGUCCCUUAACCAUUAUCCACUCACUCUGAUUUGUUACCUAUGCUAUUAUGAACCUAUCAUUCUUGGCCGGCUGAAAGCCAAGGCCACAAAGACUCUUACUACUGACCUCCCUAGAGUGAGUAUUGCUCAAGGUCCAUUUGAGAUCCUUGUGAACUCUAACACACUAGGAUUUGGAGCCUUUUAGCCACUCUCUCUACUACUGAAACCUGAGCAAUCUCUGACACUCAAUUCUUUCUUCCUACUGUCUACUGAAUAUGUAAACUGGUUGGUUUAAGUGAUUCAAUGGCUGGGUAAUAUGGUUAACUACAAUUUUUUAUUUGUCUUGAGUUCUUCUAUGGAUUCUGGGUUGUGCUGAUGAACAUAGUUCCCUGUUGGAAACCUUUGCUAUGUGAGAGUUGUUGAAGGCCCAGGCAAUGCUGGUAUUUCUUUUUGGGCCUGUUGUGGGCCUAUUGUUAUUAUUUGUAUAAUAUUUUAUAAUUAUAUUCAUUAAUGGGCCUGUAAUAACUUUUUAAUGAACAAUUGGGGGUGUUAGUGAAAUUGCGAGAAUGGAUAUGCUCUAAUAUUUGUAUGCAAGGGUAGAAAAUAUGCCAAUAAGGUUCAUGUGAUUUACUUGUUAUCCGACUUGCUGUAUAUGCCAUUUAACUGCCAUUCGUAGAAAUUGUGUCACUAGGAGGAUCACACACUCACGCAAAUCGUAUGUUAUCAAAGUAUAAGUAUCCCUAUGUCUGCUAGACAACAUGCCUAUAGGAAAGAAAUGCUAGUGACAUUUUCUCAAUCAGUAUAACUACGUCAUAUUCAUUAGAAAUUAUGCCUAUACGAUUUUAAUUAUUUAAUUUUAUAUUAUAUCAUAAUACUCACUUAGAAAACAAGUCUAUAGGGGGCUAAGCAUAAUAAAAUUGGUUUCAAUCGCCAAUUGUUAGAUAUCCUGCCUAUAGGGUAUUACUACUCGCCUUAAAAAUGUUAUUGCUGAACUCUUCCAAUGUUGUUUAUUGUUUAGUUAUGCCACUAUUAGAAAUAAUGAGUAAUUAUGGGCAUCUCCAAUUGAUUUCACUGUCCCUUACUGCAUAAAUCACUUAGACACAACGUCUAUAGGUUUAAUAACUGAAAAUGUGUAAUCUCAAAAAUCAGCAUGCAACAACUAUAUAAUUAUUUGGAAUCUUAUCUAUGAGCAGCGCCUUGCAUCUGAAACUGCAUGUAUGUUUAAAUUCAAAGUCACAUAGAAAUCAUGUCUAUAUGGCUUAAGGUUCUUAAUUCUGAAACUACCUAACAUGAAAACGUGUUUCGCGUGCAUUUGUUGCUUAAGCGUGGAGGCUAACAUGAGCCCUUAAUUGCCCAUAUAUGAAGUCCAAUUUAUUUUUGUAUGUCGCCAAGUUUUAACCUUUCUGAGCAACAUAAGUAAGGUAUAGAAGUACCCAAAUAGAGGUCCAAUACCUCUUGGACCAUAGGUAUGGGAUGGGUAGUGCACGCAUAGAGCACGACUUAGAAUCGAAUUAGAGCGCUUUUAGGUAACAACUUUAACAUAGUAAUCGAGUAGUAGGAGAUGAUAAACUGUGCCCGCUGAAUUAUAUGAGUAAAUCCUUAUCUCAAGGGAGUUGCGAAGUAUUAUUUAUGUUGCACGGGGUGAUCCUUUAGGCUAAAAAACAUAGGAUCCCCCCUCCUUUAUAUGUUGCUAUUAUAUCUAAAUAGUUGUAUCCCUAUAUUCGUACUAAGAUCUGUACUAAUCAUGUUGUAAUUGUUUAUGAUGAUCCAAAAGUUCAUCUUAUGUUUUAGAACUCGAUUCUGUGUUCUAAAGACUUCAAAACCUCAUUUUAUUCCUCCUUGAUUUAUGUGCGCAGUCCAGGCGCUUUUACGAAAAGCUUUUAUGUUAAAAAUUGAUAAAAAGAAUAUUUUUUGCCUAUAAAAGUUGAUUUAGUUUACUUCGGUUAAUGUUUUGAGUAAAUGGACCCGGACUCAUGUUUUGACAGUCCUAGUGGGUAUGUAUCGAAAUAUGGGACCUGGGCGUAUGCCCGAAAUCGAAUGUGAGGUUCCUAGCUCAAGAAAUGAAUUUUUGAUAAAAAUUGAAUGACUGGAAAUUAAAUGGUUUUAAGAAUUUGGUUAGUGUUUAAACUUAUUGGUAUCGGGUCCGUAUUUUGGUUACGGAACUCAGUACAGGGUUGAAAUAAUAUUUAUACCUUAUCUGUGAAAUUUGGUGAGAAACGGAAUUUAUUUGACGUUAUUUGGACUUUCGGUUGUGAAAAUAGGAAUUUCAAAAUAUUUUUAAGAAUUUCAUAAGAUUUGGUCGCACGAACAAGUCCGUAUGAUGUUUUUAGACUUGUGUGUAUGUUUGGUUUACAGCUCCGAGUGCUCGGGUGAGUUUCAGAUAGGCUACGAGAUGUUUUAGACUAAGAAAAUCUGGUAUUUUUGUUGUAGCAAUUGUUCUGGUAUGCCCAUCAUCGCGUUCGCGAAGGUACCCACGCGAACGCAAAAGGUAAAAUAGGGGAAGAGGGAAUUUCUUCUUUGCGAACGCGAAGGACUUGUUGCGAACACGGAGUAACGGGGGCAUUAUUCUUCGCGAACACGACCUUUCUAUCGCGAUCGCGAAGAAAUGGGACCUGGGGAGGGGCAAUGACUGAUACUCUUCGCGAACGCGGUACUUGGCUCGCAAAUGUGUAGGUUGGGGGGAAUAAGCCUUCGCGAACGCGAGGAGUAUCUUACGAACGCGUAGGCCUUUGGGCCGCUGUGUAUCAGGAUCACGACAGGCCCUUCGCGAACGCGAAGAAAACCUGUCCAGUAAUUUUAAAACAAAUACAAAAACGGGACUUCUUCAAAAUUUCAUAUCUCUUUCACUAGAACUCGGCUUAGGGCAAUUUUUGAAGAGGUAAUUCAACACCAAAUCAUAGGUUUGUACUCUUUAAAUCAUUUCCUUCAAUUUCCAUCAUCACCCAUUAGAUUCUUUGUCAUAAAUCUUGUUCUUUCAUGGAAGAAUUGGGGGUUUUUGCAAAUUGAGAAUUGAGACCUCGAUUUGGGGUCGGAUUCCGAAACUAAUUACAUAUUCAGGCUCCUCGAGUUUUGACCAAAUGGGCCCAGGGUCAAUUAUUGAAUUUCUGGGGAAAAUGUUGGGAGACCUAAAUUUAUGUAUUGAAAUUGAUUCCUUUAGUAAUAUUUGAUGUUAUUAAGUUAAUUAUAGCUUGAUACGAGUGGUUUGGAGGUAGAAUCUAGAGGAAAAGCGGUAAUUGAGUAGUGAAUGGCCUGCGGAUCGAGGUAACUAUUGGGUCUAACUUUAACUCGAGGGUUUAGGAAUCUCUCACUUAAUUGCUAUGUGAAAAUCCAUGUGAGUGGCGUAUAGGUGAGGUGAUGGGUACCUAUGCAUUGCCAAUUUAUCUGUUUUUCCUAUUUUCUCCCCGUCCUAUUAUGUUGUCUUCCCUGCAUUAACUGUUACAUGCUUUACUAGUAGUUCCAUGUUUAAUUGCUACUGUCAUACCUCCUUUUUCUACCCCACAAGGGGUAUAAGGGAUUUAUUUCCAAUUUAAGUGACAAUCGAAACGAGAUUAUUUAUUUAAAAAUCAGAGUUGCCACUUGGGAUAAUUUAUGGUGUCCCAAGUCACCGGUUAAAAUCCCGAAUUGAGGAAGUUGACUCUAUUUAUGAUCUGCGAACACAGAAAUCCGGGUAAGGAAUUCUGUUUACCCGGGAGAAUGUGUUAGGCAUUCCCAGGUUCCGUGGUUCUAGCACGGUCGCUUUGAUCAUACUUGGCUUAGUCAAAUUGUUUAGUUACUCAUUUUAGAACCUAUGUGCAUUUACCUCUUUUAAUUAAGGAAUUAUCCUAAAACGAGUCACACGUACGUGUACUCAUUUCAUUUGGCGCAUAAAAAAAGCAUGUCACGCGUACGUGUCCACAAUUAAUAAUGAUUUAUUAUGAUUAAGAAAGUUUAGUUGAAGUUGCGCGAACGCAUACUCCGAUUUUGUUUUCAAAAUCAAAAUUAUGUAACGCGAACGUGUCCACAAUCAUGACGAUACAUUAAACGUGCCUAAAGCAAACUACGAACAUUCACUUUUUAAUAUCUAAGUUACAAUAUUAAUGUGAGGGCCAUAGGCAAUUCAAUUAUGGAUGGCACACCUCAAUCUAAAGAUGUUCAGGUUUAAUCUAAAUUAAGGUUCAAUCUAAACCUACUAAUUAUAAGCAUGCGUCAGAUAAUAUACUAUGUAUAUAAUUAUUUAAAGAAUUUUGGGCCAGCAGUAGGCCCAAUAUUAUUAAAGGAUUUUCGAAAAGGAAAAUAAGAAAAGCUAGGCUCGACAUCAAGCCCAGCGAUAGGGACAAAGGUGAGAGGCCACCAAAGUUUCGAAUGGCCAAGAACUGGGCCCAUGAUCAAACCUUCAGUAUUAGAAAAAACUAUUUCCAUUUUACCAAAUACAAAACCUAACAAAUUUAAAUUGUUGGAUAUAAUAGGGCUCAGAGUUGAGCCCAAGGAGCGAAAAGAAGACAAGAACAAGCACGUUGAGCCCAUUUCCAAGCAGGCUACCUCAUAUAGGCCAAGGCUAGGCCCAAUUGCCUCUAACAAAGAAAAACCUUCAGUAUUAAGGCCCCAACAAGUCAUAUCUCCCUCUAAAUCAUCCAUGGCAAAACAAUAUAGAAAUUCUAGACAUUAAAGUGCAUAAACGCCCGGAUUAUAAACUAUAUUGUAAUAACCUGUUACAAGUAAUAAUAGUAUGGACAUGGAUUUUAAACUACUCAUUAAACAUACAAGUUCACACAACAAAAAGACUACUCUAGCAAUGCUGAAAUUAAACAAUUAAAAUGCGUGUGUUCAGCAGUCAGACAAUAUACAUGAUACUCAAAUCAACAUUCUUAAAUACAAAUGAGCUACAAAAGCCAUCUACUAACUCAAAAAUCUGAACAGUUCAUAAAGAGUUGAUUAAUCUAAGCCUUAAUAUAUGAAAUUCCCCACUAAACUAUUGCCCAUCAACAGGUCCCAUAAUAAUCAUAACAAAACUGAAGGAAACCAAACUAAUAAUAAGCUAGGUAACUCAGGAAGAACGAAUGUAAAAGAACUGAAAGUCCAUGUUUCUACCACUAAAAUUCACAUUACAAAUACAUAUAUAAAAAGAAAGGCAUGCUUGCACUUCAAUAGUCAUCAUAGUCCAAGAAGUACCUGAAUAUCAAGAACAAAAUGAUGAGAAACAAGGAAUUGAGCAAAGCAAACAAGUGAAGGAAACAACAAAUAAUCAGCAAACACAUAGCUCCAGCUUAGUCCAUAUUUGAAUCAGAGAUUCAGAAAAUCCAAAAAAACUUCAGAGUAUUUUUGUUUCUUUUUUAGAAAAUCAUAAGCGAAUCAAUUAAGCUCUUUUUUUAUCAAACAGUGCAGAAACUUUUGUGUAUUUUCUAAUGUUUUGAAUCUCUGUUUUUAAGAGUGAGGGAGGGGUUCUAUUUAUGGGAAACCCAAUGCCAUGUGAUGAAAAACAGAAAGAUAGGGAAUUAUUCCCUCACACAUCCCCUAAAGGCAUCUUUCUAACAGAAUUGGGACAGCUAUCAACCUCUAAUUGGUUUCAGCAUUUUUGUGCCGGCCAAAUAGGGCUAGCUGCCCCAAAUUCUAGAAGCUUCUAACCUUAACCUUAUCUGAAAAAUCCUGUUUCUAUUUCCCAAAUUAACCCCUAAGUUUCCAUUUGUUCUAUUAACCUCUCCUAAGUUUCUAAUAUUUUGCAAACUAUGGCAAAUAAGAACAAGGCAAGCAAACAUGAACCAACAGAUUAAAAGCAAACAAAAACCUCAGAGUCAAAAGUUUGAGUAUCUGAAAACUGGCAAAUAAACCUACAUCUCUAACAUGAAACCAAUUCAUAAUAAACUCUAGAUUAACAUGAAACUAAACCAAAAGCUAAUUAAAUGAUGCAUUCAUACUAAACUAUGAUUCAAAAAAAAAGGCAAAAGGAUAACUGAAACUACUAACUAUUUUAUGAGCUAAAUUAAUCAUGAGCUAAACUAAAUCAGUAAACCCAAAUGAAACUUGAACAAACAACUGGAGUGAUUCCGAAACCAAAAUGAACAAACUAAUGCACCCUAAAACAAAAUUAGUAACUAACCACGUCUAAAGAACAAACAAAUUUAUAAACUGAAAAUCAAUCUAGAAAGAACACUGACUCGACAUUUGAAGAAGAGAGAAAAAAAUGGAGAGGUAAAAUGAUGAUACUUUACCAUUUGGACUGGAAAAAAAACAAACGAAAUAAGCUUUGAGGUCUGUCUCCGCCUUGACUGACUAAUAGAGGUAUUUUCCUUCAAGGGAUCCGGCCUUGCAUGGCUUUGACCGGAUCUCCUUGAAAGAAAAGAUUUCUGGAAGCCUUGUCUUCGAGGGGAAAACAACAAAGAAGCUUUGGAUUUCGAACAAAAAUUGAAGCAGCACUUGGUGCCUUUCUUUGAACCGGACAGAACUUGAUCUUCGAUUUGAAAUUGUAGAGCUUUGCGGGGUUGUUUGGGAAAAUCAGUAAGGUAUUGAGGGCGAGGGGAGUGAGGAGAUUGUGUGAUGAGAUUCUGGACGGACUUGGGUGAACUAGGGUUUGGGGGACUGAUUCUUAGAUCUAAAUUUGAAGGACCUGGGUGGGGAUUUUGGAGAAAAGGUUUAUGGAUUUGGAAAGGGGGUUGCCUAGUAAAUAUUUGGGGAGGUUUGGAUCACCGGAACCGCCGUGAGGCGAUUUUCGGUGGUGGUUAGUGGCGGAGGAGGCGUGGUUUUUUAGGCGGCUAGGGUUUAAUUCAUGUUGAAGGGGACGAGUGAAUGAUUGGGUUUGAGGGGGAGGGGGGUAUGUGUUAGGACAAUUAUAAGGUUUAGGUUAAUUAGUUCCAAACCGUUGGAUCACUAGGAUCCAACGGCUGUGAUCAGGGACGGGCAAAACGGGGUCGUUUGGCUUAGUGGGGGGUUGGACCGGGUAAGGGGUUUGGGCUUGGGCGGAUUUGGGCUGGGUAAGGGAUGUGUUUGGGGCGGAUUUGGGGCAAAAAUUUGGGUUUCAACAUCAAUUGGCCUAAAUUGGAUUUUAAGUCCAAGCUUUUCAAUUCCCUUUUUCUUUUAUUUUCUUUUCUUUCUUUAAUUAAUUAAAAACCUAAAUUAAAUUUCUAAAUUAAUCUAAGUUGUAAAAUUAAACUAAUUAUCAAAUUAUAAAAAUUAAUUGAUCCUAAAUUAAAAGAGAAGAACUACUGAUCUAGAAUUAAAAGCUAAAAAAAUAUAAAAGUAAGACAAUUUUUUUUUUCAUUUUUAAUAAUGCAACUAAUUUACUAAUUAAUCCUAAAAAUAUGAAAACAAAAUCUCAAUGCAAUGCAUAGUAUUUUUGGUAUUUUCAUGAUUUAAAUAAAAGUAAACGAAAUGCAAACAAUUAACAAAAAAUCCUAUAAAAUUGCAGACAAUUGGGAAAAAAUCUUUUUCUUUAAAUUGUAGGAGUAUUCCACAUAGGGCAAAAAUUAUGUGCUCACAGCCUCCCCUCUUUGCUCAGAAACACGAAGAGUUUUUGGGCAAAGAUAAAGUGAGCGGAUACGAGCGAUUUUUGCCCGUUUGAAUACUCCAUGGGAAGCAUUUUUGAAAGAUCUGACUGAACCUUGCUUCUAAGGUUGACUACAUAUCCUUGACUAUAAAGGAAUCAGGUCAGUGUAGUUCGAGAAGUUUCGGUAGCUGAGACUACCGGAAAGCUGUGAUUUCACUAUUGUUGUUGCUGCUUCUGCUUGUUGAACUCCCUAUUACACUGCGGCAAAAUAAAAAGAAGCUAGACUAAACUACGAUCUAUGAAUUACAAGAAUCGUAUCUACCAUCUUCAAACUUGGUCUUGCUGCUUCUACAUUUCUGUUGUGCACAUUGAACUGUUGACCUAUAUCUCGAGGCGAAUUUCUGUUGUUGCAACCGCAAAUUAAAUUCUAAAAUAGGUUCCCUUGUUCUCUAGGUGGGUGCCUGAUCGCCGAAAACUUGAACUGCAUUCCCUCGUCCUCCAGGUUCGCGCCUGAUUGCCAAAAACUUUGAACUAUAUUGCCUUGUUCUCCAGGUGGGUGCCUGAUUGCCAAAAACUUGAAUUGUAUUCCCUUGUUCUCAUGUGGGAGCCUGAUUACCAAAACUUAAACUGUAUUUCCUUGUUCUCUAUGUGGGCGCCUAAUUGCUAAAAACUUGAACUGUAUUCUCUUGUUCUUCAGGUAGGCGCCUGAUUGCCAAAACUUGAACUGUAUUCCCUUGUUCUCCAGGUGAGCGCCUGAUUGCCAAAACUCGAACUAUAUUCCCUUCUUCUCCAGAUGGGCAUCUGAUUGCCAAAACUCAAACUGUAUUCCCUUGUUCUCCGGGUGGGCGCCUGAUUGCCAAAACUCGAACUGUAUUCCCUUGUUCUCCCAGUGGGCGCCUGAUUGCAAAAACUUGAAUUGUAUUCCCUUAUUCUUCAUGUGGGCGCCUGAUUGCCAAAACAUGAACUAUAUUCCCUUGUUCUCCAGGUGGUCGCUUGAUUACAACAAAACAGACAAAACAAAGAAACUUUUCUGCCUCAGUUUGGUAUUAGGGCACAUCUGUAAGUGUUAAUCGAAUCAUAUUACCCAAAACCUCUAAGAAUUUAAAAGCUAAAUCACAUUAUCCAUGAGGGUCCUGAAAUUUUAAAUUGAAUAUCAUCUUAAGAGUGAAAGCUUUAUAUCCAACUUAUAAUUCCUAAAGGUAGAGCUUAUGCUAAAUCUUAUUAUCUAUAAAGGUCUUGGAAUUCAACUAAGUCCCAUUAUCCAGGAGGGUCCUGAGAACUUUUAAAAUUAAAUCUCAUUAUCCAGGAGGGCGCUGAAAAUUUUAAACUAAAUCCCAUUAUCCAAGAGGGUCCUAAAGAUUUGCGGUUAAACCUGUCCGGUAUAUGCUUUCCUCACGGAGGAUUCCUCCAGAAUAAACAAAAUUUCCUGCCCCUGUUUUAAUCAAAGAAAAUUUUAUCAAUUUGAAAAUGUGGUGGUUGGUUUGCGGCAUUCUUGUUGAAGGUGGCCUUUCCACGGCCAUGCUUUGUUCUGACUGGCUGCCUUGGACUGGCAAAAAAUUGUUUGACUUUCUGACUGAAUCUCAACCAUAGGACCCUGAAUGACCCGAGUGCUCUGCACUCAACCCGCUAUUUUACAUUUCUAUCUUUCCCAUUUGAUCCUAUGUAUCUUCCACAAAAUUCACAAACCCCUCGACCAUUUGAACUUUAACUAACACCUUACUUUCCAUUUUGCAUCAUGCUAUUUCUGCUAUGUUUAGGCCGCACUCUACUUUGUGCAAUUUGGAAGUUGAUAGUAAGCUUUGAAAUUCUUUCCUACUUGCUUAAACAAGGCUGAAAUUGGAAAAGCCUUAGAGAAAUAAACCCAAAAGACAUGAAAUGCAAUGACUUCGAGAGUUAGGAAUAAAGAAGAAAAUCCGAAAUAGGAUGACUGUUUGAGGGAGAAAAGGAGAAGAAACUUAUCUGAGUAAGGCAGCUGGCACUAAUGAUCAUGACAUGCAUUUCGGAUUAGUCGGCCCAACCUGUUUUACCAAUCAUCUUUCUGUUGUCAUACUUUAUGCCUCGAAAUUUCCAUAUUCCAAUAUCUUUUCAAAGUCACCAACCUUGUUCGGCUUGUGGUGCCCUGAAGGUUUUCACCAAUAAACCUCUCUCAUUUGUUCAUCUCUCAACUCACUAUUGUCUUACGGUGUCCGUGAAGGUUUUUACCAAUAAGACUCUCUCAUUUUAAUUUCUCUCAUCUUUCUAUCGACCUACGGUGCCCGUGAGGGUUUUCACCAAUAGGACUCUCUCAUUUAUUCAUUUUCCUUGUGUAGAACGGAGUGUUGCCCCUGAUGAGCCGUACCUCUAUCCCGCCUGACUUUGCAUUCCUCAAAGAUUGAUCGGAAGGUCUUUCUUUGGAUCGUAACGUCGGCUUUUGGAUAGGGAGAGAAAGGAUAUUAUAAAGGCUCAAAAACAAUUGGAAUGAGUUCAAAAUUACAACCUUUGGAGUCAGAUCUCUUAGGAAACUGCAACUUCUGCCCCAGUUUCUUUGCCUGGGGACUUUUGAAUUUUAUUUUGAUGGGACCGAACCGUGAGGUUGCCUACGUAUCCUUAUAAGGAAUCAGGUUGAAUGUAGUUCAUGACAUAGGAAUUGCUUUGUUUUUUGUUACUUGUCUUUUCUUUUUCUUUCUUUCUUUUUUCUUCUUUUCCCUUUCUUUCUUUUUUUUCUUUUUCUCUUUCUUUUGGUUUGCUUACUUUUUCAAUUUCUCUCUCUUAUUUUUUCUUUUUCUCUUUUUCUUUUUUAUUUACCUUUUGUGUCCGUGUUUGUGAACUUUGCUACUGAUUCCAAAAGAGGGGUAUGGAAGAAAUAAAUAAAGCUCAAAGGGGUAACAAAGGAUAAAGUGUUUAGAUAGCAGAAUAAAAUGCCUUCGUCUUUCCAAUCUUCAAAAGAUGUCAAGUACAAACAACAAUUAGACAAACCAAAGAAAUCAUACAUAAUAUCUUUUGACUACAUUAAAAUUGAUAGUCAUAUCUGCACAGUUGCCUUCUAUAUUUGUUAAAUACAAAACACCAUUGGAUAACACUCUCAUUACAAUGAACGGCCCUUGUCUUUCGCUUCAGCCUGAUGUGGAAGGAUGCGUUUCAAUACUUGCUGACCCACUUCAAAUUUUCGGGGACGCACCUUCUUGUUGUAUGCUCUUGCCAUUCUCUUUUGAUACAACUGGCCAUGACACACUACCGCCAGUCUUUUCUCGUCAAUCAGACUUAAUUACUCCAAACGGGUUUUGACCCACUCAUCAUCAUCAAUUUCGGCUUCAGCAACAAUCCGAAGAGAUGGAAUUUCAACUUUCGCGGGUAUCACUACUUUAGUACCAUAUACCAACAAAUAAGGAGUUGCACCUACUGAAGUGCGAACAGUAGUGUGAUAACCCAUCAAAGCAAAGGACAACUUUUCAUGCCAUUGCCUGGAACUUUGCACCAUUUUCUGAGGUAUCUUCUUUAUGUUCUUGUUGGCCACCUCAACAGCUCCAUUUGCCUUGGGGCGAUACAGAGUGGAAUUUCGAUGCAUGAUUUUAAAAUAUUGACAUACUUCUUUCAUCAAAUGACUGUUAAGAUUAGCACUAUUAUCUGUGAUGAUCACCUUUGGGAUUCCAAACCGACAAAUGUUAUUUGAAUGAACGAAAUCGACCACUGCCUUCUUGGUCACAGAUUUGAAAGUCUUAGCUUUAACCCACUUAGUUAAAUAAUUGAUGGCCACCAUAAUGAACAUGUGCCCGUUUGAUGCUGCAGGCUCAAUUGGUCAAUGACAUCCAUGCCCCAAGCAACAAAGGGCCACAGCGUGGACAUUAUAUGCAACUCAGAUGGUAGAGAAUGAAUCAAGUCUCCAUGUACCUAGAACUGAUGACACUUGCGCACAAAGCUGAUGUAAUCCCGUUCCAUGGUGAGCCAGUAAUAUCCUGCUCGAAGAAUUUUCUUUGCCAUAACAUACCCAUUCAUAUGUGGCCCGCAAACCCCGGGAUGCACUUCUAUCAUGAUAGUCAUGGCUUGUUUAGCAUCUAUGCAUCUCAACAAUCCAAGAUUUGGAGUCCUCUUGUAUAAGAUCCCCCCGCUCAAGAAAAAUUCACUAGCCAAAUGUCGAAUUGUUCUCUUUUGAUCACCUGUGGCUUGUACCGGAUAUACCCCUAUCCCGAUGUAUUCCCUAAUAUCAUGGAACCGCGGUUCACUAUCAAGUUCUUCCUCAACCAUAUUACAAUAGGCAUGCUGAUCAUGAACUUGAAUAUGUAGAGGGUCAACAUAAACUUUGUCCGGAUGGUGCAACAUUGAUGUCGAGGUAGCCAAAGCAUCGGCAACCUCAUUAUGGAUCCUUAGAAUAUGCCUGAAUUCUAUUGAUCGGAACUGUUGACAAAGAUCAUGCAAACAUUGCCGAUACGGUAUGAACUUUAAUACCCGAGUCUCCCAUUCUCCUUAGAUUUGGUGCACCAAAAGAUCUAAGUAUCCCAAGACCAAGACUUCCUGAACUCCCAUAUCUACCGCUAACCUCAAUCCCAAAAUCCAUGCCUUGUACUCAGCCAUGUUGUUGGUAUAGUAGAAACAAAGUUGGGCUGUAAUAGGGUAGUGAUGCCCUAUUUCAGAAAUAAACACGACCCCUAUUCCGACACCUUUCAUGUCAGCGGCUCCAUCAAAGAAAAGUUUCCAACCUGGUUUUUCAACCUGCUCCACCUCAUCAAUAUGCAUCACUUCUUCAUCGGGAAAAUAAGUUCUCAAUGGUUCAUACUCUUCAUCGACCGGGUUCUCACCAAAUGAUAGGCCAAUGCUUGGGCUUUCAUCACAGUCUGAGUCACAUAGAUGAUGUCAAACUCUAUGAGAAAAAUCUGCCACUUUGCAAGUAUUCAUGUGUGCAUAGGCUUCUAAAAGAUAUACUUUAGAGGGUCCAGAUGAGAAAUGAGGUAAGUAGUAUAGGACGACAAAUAAUGCUUCAACUUUUGUACCACCCAAGUGAGGGUGCAACAUGUCCUUUCAAGGGGAGUAUACUUAACCUCAUAUGACGUGAACUUCUUGCUGAGAUAAUAGAUGGCUUACUCCUUUCCGCCGGUGAUGUUAUGUUGACCCAGUACGCAACCAAACGAAUUGUCUAGGACUGUCAAAUAAAGAAUUAAAGGCCUCCCAGGUUCCGGCGGGACCAACACAGGUGGGUUUGACAAGUACCCCUUAAUCUUAUCAAAUACCUCCUGGCACUCAUCAAUACAUUUGACCGCAGCAUCCUUCUUCAGCAACUUAAAGAUGGUCUCACAAGUUGUUGUGAGUUGAGCAAUAAACCUAUUGAUGUAGUUCAAAUUACCGAGCAGACUCAUCACCUCAGUCUUGUUCCUUGGAGGUGGCAAUUCUUGGAUAGCUUUGAUUUUUAAUGGGUCCAAUUCAAAGCCUCGACGACUAACUAUGAAUCCCAACAGUUUUCCAGAUGGAACACCAAAUGCACACUUGGCAGGGUUAAGCUUAAGAUUGUACCUGCGGAACCUUUGGAUAAACUUCCUUAAAUCGCCGACAUGGUCAGCUUGUUGCUUUGACUUUACGAUCACAUCAUCCACAUAAACCUCAAUCUCCUUGUGUAUCAUGUCAUGGAACACAGUGGUCAUUGCCUUUAUGUAAGUUGCCCCAGCAUUUUUCAAAUCAAAUGGCAUUACUCGAUAGCAAUAAGUUCCCUAUGGUGUGAUGAAUGCCAUCUUUUCUGCAUCCUCCUCAUCCAUCAAGAUCUGGUGGUACCCCGCAUAGCAAUCCACAAAAGAACCGAUCUCAUGCUUGGCACAGUGGUCAAUCAAAAUGUGGAUAUUUGACAAUGGAAAAUUAUCCUUUGGACUUGCUUGGUUGAGAUUACGAUAAUCAACACACACCCUGGUCUUGCUGUCCUUUUUUGGCACUGGCACGACAUUAGCUAACCAAGUGGGUUAUCGCGUGACUCGAAUGACCUUUGAGCCCAGCAGCUUUGUGAUUUCAUCCUUAAUAUUCACACUCAUAUCAGUUUUGAACUUUCUUAACUUCUGCUUGACGGGAGGGAAUGUUGGGUCAGUGGGCAAUUUGUGCACCACCAAGUCAGUACUUAGACCCGGCAUGUCGUCAUAUGACCAUGAAAAAAUGUUUUUAUAUUAGAACAGUGCUUUGAUUAUUUCCUCUCUAAUUUUUGGUUCCAAGUGCACGCUUAUCUUGGUUUCCCUGAUGUUAUCUAGAUCCCCUAAAUUGAUUGCUUUAGUUUUAUUCAAAUUAGUCUUGGGUUUCUCUUCAAAGUGACGUAGCUCUUUACUAAUUUCCUCAAAUGCUUCCUCUUCAUCAUAUUCUAUUUCAUCAUCACACUCUAUUUCCUGAAUUAUUAUUUCAGAGUUAGAUUGGCUUUUAAUACUUGGCCAAAGAUACCUCAUGCAUGUCAUGUCAUUGAAACCGACAUAAAAAGAACUGUACAAAGAAAGAAAAGAAAAUGACACUAUCAGGAGUAAUGGCAAAAGGGAAAUUGCAUUUCAUUGAAAUUAAAGGAUAGAAGGGUUUGUACAUCAAAACAGACGGAAAUUAAAAUUUGAAUUACAACCCUGAAAUAAUCCAGAUAAACUGAAAGGAAAACGAAGCAAACUACCAAAACUCCUUCCGGGUAGGGAGAGGAGUAGCAUCCCAAUUGUUAAGCUUCACUUUUGUCCCAAUAAACUACACAUCCACUUUGUUGGAACCUUCCCUAGUUUCUACCAUGUUCACUUCAUCAAACAGACUCUGGAACCUUUUAACCAAUUCCUCAUCAAAAUGAACCACAGGCUUUGGAACUGUUGUCACUGGACACUUCACGACCCUUGCCUUGAUGAAAGACCUGGAGAGACAUUGUACGGUCUUGAGGAGCGAUCAUGCCUUCUUUUUCAGCUUUUUAGCCUUCUUCACAUCAUCCCCUGUAGGUUUGAACACCAGACCAAAUGUACCCAAAUUUUCACGCAAAGACAUUGGCUGCACGAUACCUUGCAGAGAUGCACCCAGACCUUUGCCCGGUACAAAACCAUUUUUCAGCAUUUCAGUUGCUACCAUGAUGAUUGUAGAAGCUAGUUUUGGACUUGGAAUGUAUUCCCCUUCCGGAAUCUUUUCAACCGAUACAGUUUUGGAAACUUAAUAGACCUACGGCCCUUAUCUUCUUUAGCUUCAAUAAACGGGAAAGAUGUAUCAUUGAAAGCACAUAAGUUCUCAUCGCUAUGCACGCCGAUUUCUUGUCUAUCCCAUUCGAACUUCACCAUCUAGUGUAGAGAAGAUGGAACCUCCUUGGCAACAUGUAUCCAAGGCCUACCCAAUAGCAAAUUGUAAGAAACAGCCACAUCCAGUACCUGAAACUCCAUGGUGAAUUCAAUUGGUCCUAUUUUCAACUCGAGCAUGAUGUCGCCAACAAAGUCUUUUCCCCCUCCCUGAAAACCUCGGACACAUAUUUUGUUCUUGUGAAUCCUCUCAUCAUCAACUUUUAACUUGUUCACAGUAGAGAGAGGGCAGAUGUUUGCAUUGGAACCAUUGUCAACUAACACCUUUGUGACCACAGAAUCUUUGCAUUUCACUGUGAGAUAGAGGGCUUAAUUGUGUUCUGUACCUUCCAGAGGCAAAUCAUCAUCCGAGAAUGUGAUCUUGUUAGACUCAAAUAUCUUAUUGGAAAUCUUCUCCAAAUGGUUCACUAUGAUUUUGUCAGGGACAUGAGCUUAGUUCAGAAUCUUCAUCAGGGCCCAGCGGUGCUCAUCUGAAUGGAUCAACAAUGAUAAGAGGGAAAUCUGAGCAGGAGUCUUUCUCAAUUGUUCUACGAUGGAGUAAUCAUGUACCUUUAUUUUUCUCAAAAACUUAUCCGCUUAUUCUUUAGUGACCGGUUUCUUCACUAGAACUGGAUUGUCUCAGAGUGUUUUAGCUUUCCUUAACUCUUUCGGGGCAAAGCAUCUCCCCGAAUGAGUUAAUCCCUAGGCCUCGUUAACUUCCUCUUUCACUUCCUUCCUAUUAUAGGUCACUAUCACUCGCUCAUAGUUCCAUGGGACAGUCUUGGUAUUAGCUACCGGCAGCUGGGUCAUAGGUUUGAUAAUGAUAGGGUCUGUGCGAGCACCCUCCACAAUUAUGACUGGCUUACUUGCUACCCCCGGCACGAUCACCUUUGGCUUUUCUUGCUUUGCUACAUCAUCACUUGGGGACCUAUUUACAACUACCACAACUGGCUUAUCAUUUGGCAUGCUCAACUUGUCUACCAAUCUUUCAGCUAUUGAGGAGGUUGCUUUUGUGACAACCGAGUCCUUGAUUGACUUACUUUCACUAGACCGGAUCAUCAUGACAAAUUAUGAAGGCUUCUUGGGUUUCCCAUCUUUGUGCAUUAUCUCAAUCAUAUGUGUUUUAGCAUGGGCUGACAAUGGGUUCUGGUUGAUGUUGGGUGCUUCUAGGCUCUAGACCACAAUCUGUUUUGUAUUAAUAAGCUCUUGGAUGGCGUUCUUCAAGUGCCAACACUUUUCUGUAUCGUGCCCCGGAGUAUCAGAAUAGUACGCAAAUCUGAGAGAAUAAUCCAGGUUCUUUGGAGGGGGUUUGGUAGUUUUGACUCAAUUGGCUUCAGAACAUCCAACUACCUCAACCUUUGAAAUAGGCUGGUAUAAGAUUCCCCAAGCAGGGUGAAAGUUUUCUUUCGCUGCAACCUUUCAUUCCUAAAUUCUGACUUUCCCGAAAGUUUGGACCAGUAGGGUUUCAGUAUGUUUGUGGAGGUGGGUAAGGGUUCCAUGGAGCUGGGGCACGCCAUUGUGGGUGAGGAGGGGGUUGAGCAUAUGACUGUGCGUGAUGAACAUGAUAUUGCGGUGGCCUGACUGAGUACUGAGGCUCUGGUGGUGUGAAGUAGUGUUGGGAUGGACUAUAUGGAGUUGGUGUAUAGGUUUGAAGCUGGGGUCGAGGUUGGGUGUAGUGGGUAGGAGAAUCCCCCGGGUCGUGCCACGAUCCUAAAAUGACCAUAGCGCCAUCCUCUUUCUUCUUUUUCCCAAGCACGCCUCCGGUGCCAUUCUGGAUUGCCUGCGUAGUUGCUUUGAUAGUAGAGUAGCUCAUGAUCUUUCUUGAUUUGAGCCCUUCCUCUACCAUUUCUCCUAUUUUUACUACUUCAUUGAAAUACUUACCUAUGGCCGAGAUCAGAUGACCAAAGUAAGUAGGCUCCAAGGCCUGAAGAAAGUAUUCCACCAUUUCGUUCUCCUCCAUUGAAGGGUUAACCCUUGCUGCCUGUUCUCUCCAGUGGAAACCAUAUUCCUUGAAACUUUCACUAGGCUUCUUCUCAAUCUUAGUCAAAGACAAACGAUCUGGAACAAUCUCGAUGUUGUAUUGGAAAUGACGAGCGAAUGCUUAGGCCAAAUCAUCCCAUAUAUACCAUCUGAUGUAAUCCCGACGAGUGUACCACUCCAAUGCCGCUCCACUCAUACUCUGGCUAAAGUAUGCCAUUAACAGCUCAUCUUUCCCACCGGCUCCUCUCAUUUUACUGUAGAAUCCCCUUAAGUGGGCUACGGGAUCUCCGUGUCCGUCAUACAGGUCAAAUUUGGGCAUUUUGAACCCAACCAGUAGCUGCACAUUAGGGAACAAACACAGAUCUUUGUAGGAUACACUUACUUGAGCACCCAACCCUUGCAUGUUUCUAAGCGAUUGUUCCAGGAUUCUUACCUUCCUAAACAUCUCCUCAUGUUUCGGGUUUUAGGUGGCUUCUCAGUCUCCACGGGGAGGUCGAAACGAGAAGUGUAGGAGUAAUGAUCUGGGGCCAUGAAAGUAGGCUCUGGGGGAUAGUACUGAUUAUCUUGGGUCUGGAAUAAUGGCUCACUGGAAGAUCGAUAGAGUGUAGCUGGUGGAGGUGCUACGAAAAUAGGGGUAGCUGGUUGAUGGGGGUAUGGGGUUGUUUUGGCUGGUGGAGCUUGUAUGGUUUGGGAAGUGGUGCCAUGAUAGUGGUGGUAAGGGGUGAAGCUUGGUGCAUGUUGUGGAGAUGAGUCAAUAGUGAGAGGUACUUGGGAUUGAGCUAAUGGAGGUAUGAAAGCAGGGUUGGCGGGAUAUGAUGGUGGAUGCCCUUUCAUCCAUGCCUAGUACAUUUUGGCCAUCUGGUGUUUCAACUUAUGUAACUCCUCUUUCAAAUUAACCUCAGACUCCUCCACCUCUCUCGGUGGAUCGAUAAUACUUGCGUCCAGUUCUUGGCCAGUCAUGAUCAACUUAUUUUUAGACUUGGUGUUGUACGGAUGGGUUGCCAGAAUGCCAAACAAACUAACCACCUUCCUGUUCUCAAUGACAAUGGAAACUUGUUAGUGUGUAAGAUUUAACAGGUAGGCAACCGCACAUUUGGAAUGCAAUGCACCUAAAUAGUUAAAGCUUAUAUCUUAUAUUUGAACGCAUGCAUGCUUCAUCCCGGCUUUUAACUAACUCUUCUCAUUUUGCGCUUUCUCUUUUUUCUUUUUACUCCAAUCCCUCUUUAAUUACUAUUGGCCUUUCCCACUUGUUUUUGUUACUUCCCUUUUAUUUUGCACUCGUUAUUCUCUCUCGUUUUUUCAUUAUUUCUUUCCCCUCAAUUUCCUUUUAUUUUCUCUCCUCGUUUCCCUUUUCAUUUUAUGGUUAUGAUCAAAUCCUAUGGGGAUUGCCUACGUAUCAUGAUGUCGCAUGAAUCAGAUCAUUAUGUAGUUCAGGGAAUAAAUGCAAAAUAAAAGAAAGAUACAUUUUUGGGUUUUUCAAAUUUUCAUAAAAUAAAAAAAAACAUCCUAAUUACAACGACUUCUCCUACAGAAUUAAACAUAAAAACUAACAGACUCGGAAGGUGGCCUAACAGACUCCAAAAGAAAGAUGAAAAUAUAAACUCGAAAGUGGACUAACAAACUCCAAAAGAAACUAAAAGUACAGACUCGAACAAUAAAAUCAGAAAUACAUGAGUGCCUCAACUGCUGCUCCGGGGGCCCGCGGGACAUUAGUCGGUCUCGCCGCGGGCCUAUGCACCAUAUCUUCUUAGAGACGGAAUAUGUCAUUCAUGAUCUGACGGACAAAAAUCAUAACUGAAGCGAAGAACAUGGACCUGGUCAUGUCCUCGCAUUCGUUGCACUUCAUCACAAUGUAGUUCGCAAUCCUCCUAACCCUCUCCGUGGCAAUACCCUUCUCUUGUAGCAACCGUCCGAUCUGCUAUGAUAUGGCCCCCAAAACUUGUUCGGCUGUAUGAUUUUGCUUUUAAAGCUGUUGCAGGUCUUUUUCUAACUGCGACAUCAGGGCAUAGCAGUUCUCCCUUUCUGCUUUGAAGUUUCUUGCCUACUUGGUCAUUUUGUUCUCAAGGAUAUUGACCUUUUCUUUAGACCCAUCGUUCCUUUGUCGUAUUUCUCCCUCAGUUGUCGAACGAAACUUGCCCGUCCCACUGCAUUCUUUGCUAACUUGGCUCGGGCCUCUGCUAGUUCAGCUUCAGUCUUCUCUAACUCAAAACCGUAAUCGCAUACUUUCAGCCUGAGAUUUUCUAUAAGUUUCUUAUCCUUUUCACUCCUGAUAGGGUUCUCAGCUGCUAUUUUUAUUUUUCGGAUUUGGGCUCGGAGGGCUUCAUUUUCUUUGGCCAACCUCCUCCUUUCACCUUCCGUUUCUUGUGCCUGGAGAUCAUUAUUGAAUUCCAUGUUUCUCAAUUUCUCUUCCAAGGUGUGAAUGGCGGCUUGAUAUUUUUUCUCCUUUUCUCCCCAGGCCAACCUUUCUUGGACUUUAUAAUCAAAAGCUUGAACAUGAGGUCUCUUGGCAGGCCUUUCAAGCUCGGGCUCGGACUCUGGCUCGUUGUUUGCACAAUACCUUUUCUCAAACCAUGUAGUGUAAUCUGGAUCCACUUCCCCCUUUGCAACAUCUAGUACCUGGGUGCCAUUUUCAGAUAUCGGCAACCAUUUCAAUCCUGCGGAACUAAAGUCUCGGGCAAUGUAGCUUCUGUAUGUAGCUCAAUGACCUGGGUGGUUAGAUCUUCAUCUUCGGGCACCACCUGAUAUCUUCCUAACUACCUUAAGACCCUCUGCGGUGCAUAUGGUUGUACACUCCUCAUACCCAUCAACAUUAGGUAACCCUUGGUAGUUGUCAUGUGUAUGGUUUCUGUUAUCGGGAGCCAUCCUAUAGUCCACACGACCUGACUUGCUUUUAGAGCUUUCAAGUGGGAGACCCAGACUUCAAACCCAUAUGGAUAAUUGUAGUCUUUCACCCUUUCCUCAUAGCUCUUGAUGAAGUUAUCUGUGCUCGAACCAUAGCUAAUGAAUUUGGGGUGAUGGCGGAGAUGCUUGAUCAACCACAUUUGUAGAAGAAUAUUGCAACCUUCAAAGAAUUGAGCCCCGGCCUUGCACAAUGUCAAUGCUCGAUAAAUGUCUGCCAACACUAAAGGAGCAAGUUUAUGAUCUUUCUUAGUAGAGAGGAUUUGUGCAAAUCUGGCCAUACGGAUAUCCACUGCCCCUUCUGCAUUUGGAAAGACCAUAAUCCCCAAAAAUGCCCUAAUGAAAGCGAACCGAUGAUGAAUUUGCCAGAUGCCCUUAUCUUGUUUGUUUUUCAAACCCUUUUCAUGCGUUUCGAACCCAGCUGAGUGCCCGAACCUCAAGUACAAGAAGUAGAAAGAACAACAUCCUUUGUUUAUAUGGGCCUUCUUCCUUUGCUUACUGAUAUUCAGGAGGUCAAAGAACUUGUGCACAGAAGGAGCCCUUGGGAAUAUAAGUUGUUGUUUCCUCAAGUCCCGGCCAAACUCAAUAUACCUGGCCAUUUCCUCCAGAGUAGGGGUGAUCUUAAAAUCCGAGAAACGAAAAACAUUGUGGACGGGGUCCCAAAAGCUUACCAAAGCCUUGAUUAGAUCUUCCAAUGGUUCGAUUUCCAGAAUGUUUAUAAGGGCACCCAACUGCUCUUUCACCCAAUCAUAACCAUCUUCAUCUAGAUCAUUCCACCACAUACGCAGUUGCAGCUGAGCCUGUUCUAUGACCAACUGUAAUGGAUUCUGGACAGUGUUCAUUUAUACCUGUGGAAGUUUAAGGUUAGGUUUGACUCUGGUGGACUUUUUGUAAAACAGGUUUUCCAAUUUUUAAAAGAAAAAUCAACGGAACAUGACCCCCUCCCCUCUAUGCUACUUUUAGCAAAAGUGGCCGUUUUUGAAAACGUGGCCCCUUCACAAUUCCAAAUAAAUUUGAGGCCGGGGAAAAACACUUUAUGGAAAAAAAUGACACUUUACCGACAGACUUAUCCAUUCUUUAUGAAAAUAGCCAUUCGACAACUGAAAGAUACUCUAAGGCUAUCUCGGCAAGAACAACUUAAGACAUAACCGAAGCUGGGUCAGCUUAUGUUCUUGACCAAAACCCAAACUACAUCUAUUUGACUAUUUACUCUUCUUCUUCUUUUUUUUCGAAAAGUAAGGGCGAACCUUAUGUAGGUUGUCUACGUAUUCCACAUCCGGUGAGAAUCAGACCAUGCGUAGUUCGGUCAGUUUUGACAUAUUUGAAAGAGAUAUAUUAUUGACUCAUUUUGAAAUGACUCUUUUUCCUUGACUCUUUUCUUUUCUCUCUUUUUUUUUGAAAAUUUUGGUAGAGUUUCGGGACAUUUCGAAAUACUAGGGAUUUUUCAGAACCGGGAUUUAUUUCUUCCCUACAUCACUCUUGGUUUUUCCUUUGAUUUACUUUUCCUAGCCGAUCAAUAUGCAAGCCGAAACAAAUAAAUGUUCACAUAGCACAUAGGAUGCAUCAGGAUGGUCUGUUAUUUUGGGUACACCUAUCCUAGACGGACCCAAACCCUGUGUUGAGUCCCCAAAGUCAAAUGCACGUGAUGCAAACAAACGUUCUUACUAGGGAUCUGCCAUGAGGUUGUGUUAUUCUAAGUUUAAACCUGGAGUUGUGUUUUUGACCUGGCUUACCCAAGCGGACAACUCGAGCCGAAGGAGGGGCAACGUACCGGGAGCACUAAAGUCUACUCGGCCUUAUUGCAGGCCCAGCCUCGUUCUAUUUGGUAUGACUUCUAUAGAAAAAUCGGGCCACACGAAAGUGUGCACCAUUUUUAGAAGACUUAGAAGGGUGGCGUAAGAAGACAGUUUAAUACAAUUCACAUAAUAUCAAAGCGGUAAAUAAACGUCAAUUAGCACAUUGGGUCCACAAAAUACAGUAAUAUCAAUAAUAAAUAAAUCCAAGUAAAAAUCUUAUUAAAAAGCUCGAAUUCUUGAACCCUGAACUAGAAGUUCUGGAUUUUUAUCCCCAGCAAAGUCACCAGAGCUGUCACACCUCCUUUUUCCUACCCCGCAAGGGGUAAGGGAGUAUUUUCCAAUUUAAGUAACAAUCAAAAUGGGAUUAUUUAAUUAAAACUCAGAGUUGCCACUUAGGAUAAUUUAUGGUUUCCUAAGUCACAGGUUAAAAUUCCGAAUCGAGGAAGUUGACUCUAUUUACGGUCUGCGAACACAAGAUAUUCGGGUAAGGAAUUUUGUUAACCCGGGAGAAGGUGUUAGGCACUCCCGGGUUCCGUGGUUCUAGCACGGUUGCUUUGAUCAUACUUGGCUUAGACAAAUAUUUUAAUUACUCAUUUUAGAACCUAUGUGCAUUUGCCUCUUUUAAUUAAGGAAUUAUCCUAAAACGAGUCACGCGUACGUGUACUCAUUUCAUUUGGCGCGUAAAAAAAUCAUGUUACACGUACGUGUCCACAAUUAAUAACGCUUUAUUAUUAUUAAGAAAGUUUAGUCAAAGUUGCGCGAACACAUACUCCGAUUUUGUUUUUAAAAUCGUAAUUAUGUCACACGAACGUGUCCACAAUCACGACAAUACAUUAAACGCGCCUAAAGCAAACUACAAACAUUCACUUUUUAAUAUCUAGGUUACAAUAUUAAUGUGAGGACCAUAGGUGAUUCAAUUAUGGAUGGCACACCUCGAUCUAUUAGAAUUGUACUUAAUUAAAGCGGUCUAAAGAUGUUCAGGUUUAAUCUAAAUUAGGGUUCAAUCUAAACCUACUAAUUAUAAGCAUGCGUUGGAUAAUAUACUAGGUAUUUAAUUAUUUAAAAGAAUUCUGGGCCAGCAGUAGGCUCAAUAUUAUUUAAAAAAAUUUAAAAAGGAAAACAAGAAAAGUUGGGCUCGACAUCAAGCCCAGCGAUGGGGACAAAGGUGAGAGGCCACCAAAGUUUCGAAUGGCCAAGAACUGGGCCCAUGAUCAAACCUUCAAUAUUAGAAAAAAACAUUUCCAUUAUACCAAAUAUAAAACCUAAUGAAUUGAAAUUGUUGGAUAUAAUAGGGCUCAAAGUUGAGCCCAAGGAGCGGAAAGAAGACAAGAACAAGCACGUUGAGCCCAUUUCCAAGCAGGCUUCCUCAUAUAGGCCAAGGCUAGGCCCAAUCGCCUCUAACGAAGAAAAACCUUCAGUAUUGAGGCCCCAACAAGUCAUCUCCCUCUAAAUCAUCCAUGGCAAAAUAGUACAGAAAUUCUAGACAUUAAAGUGCAUGAACGCCCAGAUUAUAAACUAUACUGUAAUGACCUACUACAAGUAAUAAUAGUAUGGACAUGGAUUUUAAACUACUCAUUAAACAUACUAGUUCACAUAACAAAAGACUACUCUAGCAAUGCUGAAAUUAGACAAUUAAAAUGCGUGUGUUCAGCAGCCAGACAAUGUACAUGAUACUCAAAUCAACAUUCUUAAAUACAAAUGAGCUACGAAAGCCAUCUACUAACUUGAAAAUCUGAACCGUUCAUAAAGAGUGGACUAAUCUAAGCUUUAAUAUAUGAAAUUCCCCACUAAUCUAUUGCCCGUCAGCAGGUCCCAUAAAAAUCAUAACAAAACUGAAGGAAACCAAACUAAUAAUAAGCUAGGUAACUCAGGAAGAACACAUGUAAAGAACUAAAAGUUCAUGUUUUAACCACCAAAAUUCACAUUACAAAUACAUAUAUCAAAAAGAAAAGCAUACUUGCACUUCAAUAGUCAUCGUAGUCCAAGAAGUACCUGGAUAUCAAGAACAAAAUGAUGUGAAACAAGGAAUUCAACAAAGCAAAGGAGUGAAGGAAAUAGCAAAUAAUCAGCAAACACAUAGCUCCAGCUCAGUCCAUAUUUGAAUCAGAGAUUUGUUUACCGUGAAAAUGGUAACAAUAAUUAAAUUUAUAAAUGGGAUUCUAAAAAAUACGUGAUCUAUUCCCGAGCUAGUUGUUAGAGCAGUUGAUGCUAAGAACAUGAAGCUUAAUGAUGAAAUGCGAGCUAAAACAAGACAGUAAUCAACCGAAGGGGCCUAUUGCUCGGAUGCAAAGCUAGUCGAUAAGGACCUCAGAGUCAGGACUUGAAUUGAGCUCAAGCUAUCAGGGGCAAUCGGUAAUAGGAUAACAAUUAAGGAUACGAUCAAGCAAGGCUCUAUACGGCCAAAGUUGCACAAUAUAGCAUGACAUAAGUAAGAUGACAAUAGAUGUUAAAGCGGCCUCAAGCUAGUAAGAGCGAACAAAAUAGGAGAAAGAGAGAAAGAUAUUAUUGCUUUGGUGGAGAAAUGGAGCUACAUCAGCCCUUUACAAAGUGGUAUGGGUUCCCCUUAUAUAGUCAAGGGAACACGGUAUGGUACAAAUAUGUGGAGAUUAAACACAAAGUACGGAGAUGGGAUAGUUUGACGUGAUGCCUCAGCAUAGGCUCUGGAUAGGUCGGGCUUGUCAGACGUAGCCAUGUACCUUGGGGGCUUCCCCCUCUAUCCUGGCUUCGGUCUUCGUUUCCUCCGAGUCGGGCUCCGACGAGCCAGAAAUCAAGUCUUCUUAUUUUGCCGCAUACAGAUAGUCUCCGCAUUUCCCGUAAUGAAGAGAUGGGAAAUGAUUCUGACACUUGACUCCUCAAGCUCUUUCGGCGACGACAUACCUAUUAUACGACUCCUGGCCUGAGCUUCGCGGUGAUUGGACAUCCAUGGGCUCGUGCUUUUCAACUUCAUUCAUUGCACUCUUGAUUCUCGUUUUUCAAGGCGAAGGUACCGCCGUCGGUUUAAUUUUCGAUGGAUGCGAUAGAUGUGCCUGUCGGUCAGUCUUCCAAAGUCUGGAUGACUGUGUCGUAAUCUCCUAUAAAUAGGGUGCCUUGGCUUUGCUUUUCCCAUCCCAGUGCUUCCGUUGGCUCGCUUGCCUUUCCCUUUUCAUCAUCUUCUUUCACCCCUGAACAUCAUGCUAGGGGCUCAUGACCUUAAGACUAUUUAGAGGAGUUCCCUUAGACCGUGUUGUGGCCUUUUGCCGGGGCUUUCCUUCAUUGAUCAUAAGCGUGUUGUCCCGCUAUUUCUAUGGUUGUAGGUAUGCUGGCCCUUGCAGCUACUGCUGCUGGCCCGAGGUGAUGGGGGACGGGGAGUCGGUUUCUCCCUUAUGUAGAUAGUCAUUCGGAUUAUGCACUGCUGCUCAAAAGGGGGCUCGGAUUAUACACCGCUACUCACCUUCAUACCCCGACUCGACGUAGUGCUCUACUCCGAGUUGGGGGCUUGAAUGGCUAGACGUUCCAAGAAGUGGAUUCAAAGUAGUCGUGCAAGCGGGACCGAGGAUUGUUCAGUCCGCAGUCUCUCCGAGGCUUCCUUGGCCAAAGAGUGUCCUCGAGCUUCGAAGAGCCAUGGCAUUUUUUCAUCCCUCUUUUCUACUCGCCUUGUCCCUUGGGUAUAUCAGUAUGGAAAGUUGGGAUGAACUCUCGAGGGGGUGUGUCCGGAGGCGCCUAUUGUGGACUUUCGAAGGUGGAUCGAUCUUUGGGCUUUCACCUUGCGUGUGCAUCCCUUUGUCUCUUCCUUUAGGCGUAGACCCCUGUAGGCUUUUGCAUUUUGUAUGUAACGACCCCUCGAGUGCUGCUUGUACACAAACUUUUAUGAAUAAGAAUACACCACGUUGAUUUCUGCUUUUCUUACUUCUGUAUGCUUUUAUACCCUCUGAGGCCCUUUGAAUGCUUUCUUUUGUUUGUUGGCCGCUAAUAUCGGGCUUGGGCGCUGCCGUCCAUCCCGGUCUUCUACUGAUCGGCAUGGCUCUCUUCCAAACCCAUCGUCGUACUUCAAACCAAUCUUAGAUCGAUCUGAUAGGUCUAGGCUAUCGAGGCCCUCCGAGUUGUAUGGAGAUCAUGCGUCGAAUUCUGGGGCCUUUGGGAAUGCCACCCUGGAUGAAGGUCAUCUUUGGGUAUCCGAGGGCCCCUAUUGAUCUUGAUGUAGAUAGCCACGUUAAAAUGUAUAGGAUAGACUUCUACUGAGGAGUUUUCAUGUAUUCAGGCGCUUCCUCGAACCUUCAUGGAGCUUUCGUGAUCGGAGCUUCCUGUGUUUAUUCCUCUUUUCAGAAAGAGGGGAUCACGAGACCAGGUACUUGCCUUGUGUCAAAUGUUGGCGUUUAAGGCUUCCCAAAGUCCGACUUCUUUGGGUCAGGGUUUCUUGACGUAGAGUGCUAUCUUUAGCUCGGAGAUAAUACGAACGGCCCCUCGAGUCUUUACUUAUCGUCGAAGAAUGCUUUCUGAUCAGGUAUUGACCCGUCGAUCUGUAUCGAGGUUGUUGGCUUCCCGGGUCUUGCCUCGAUCAGGCGAGUCGUCACUACUUCUCGCAUAUAUGUGGGGCAGCUUCGGCUUUUUCGUAAAACUUCACUAUUUUUAGACAGCCGCCUUUUUGCUUUGGCACGGGGUACUUCAUCUCUUUAGGCAUAAAAAGUGUUGUCUACGCCCUUGCUUUGACCUGUUAUUUUCAUCAUAGUCAUGGAAACCACUUCGGGCCGAUCCGGCAAGGGACAGGGGGUGCUGCUCCUGGUGCUCAGGAAUCGAGGGAGUUCGCUCUGGAGAUGACAUCCUUGAUAAGAGAGAAACACAUGGCGCUGGCGAGGAGAUACUGCGGGUGGAGUGAGGGGAUAACACUGUAGGUGCUUUCCCCAGAUAAGGGCAUUGCGGAGUCCACCGAUGGAUUCUUGAGGGUAUACCUAUACCCUUUCGCAUUUUGCCCCCCUGAUAGGGUUGUGCUUGAUUUUUGCUUAAAGUAUCGGGUUACCUUGGCAUAGAUGCAUCCAUCGUUUUGGCAAAUAGCGUUGAUGAUGAGGUUCUUUGCGGAGAAGGCCGGGCUUGAAUUCACACUUGAUCACCUUGUUAGGCUAUAUUGGCCAUUCCAUCAUCGAGGCCUGCUAACUCUGAGGUGUCAUUCAUCUACGCCCUUUGUUAUUGAUGACGGGGAAAGCGGGGAUCGAGAGUGGGCUAGUUGGUUUAUCCGGGUCCGGACGACUGACAUUAUCCCUGUGGAGUUUUUGCCAUUUCCUGAAGGGUGGAAUUAUGCACGUGAGUGAGGCGUUUGGCACUUUUUCAGGUUUUGCCUAUAGCGAGAAUCAGCUGAGUAAUAAUGGUGUCUCCCUUGUUAUAUAAACUUUGUGGAGGCCAGGUGAAGUCUAUGAUCUGCCUGGCUGGGUCCGGAAUCUAGUGACCUAUUCGUCCUGCGAUGAGCGCAGGUGCCGAGCUGUACUUCGUACCAGAUGGGGAGCGCAGUACCAAGGUAUGUGCGUAUGCUUCCUUUGCCUUGACUUCGCAUACCUGAGGUAAUAUUUUCCCCUUCAAUUUGUGCUGGAUUUGUCGUUUGCAGAUCUCUGGCGGUUCCUUAGGAUGGGGCACCCACGGUGUGAUGGAGCCUUUAGUGGUGCUAGUCGGGCUCAUAUUUUCGAGGAAGGGGCAUCGCCCGGGUCCGCUGCUCUUGGAGCGCCUGAUUUUUGGCUGGCUAUUCCUUUGAGCGAAUACGUCGUGCCCGAGAUCGGUUCUUCUGGGGCCGCAGGGGAAAAAUCAACAGGAGUGUGUUCUGACUUCGAGAAAGUCUGUUGGCUUCACUUUGUGGUGAGUUCAUGUACAGUUUCCCUAUGCCCCGUGCCCUCCUCCCUCUAUUGAACCUUCCUUGUGCAGGCCUGUGAUAGGCUUAGGUUUGAGCUGCUCCGUCAAGGGUCAAAGCUUUAGAAAUUUCUGGAUGAGGGCGAAUCCCUUAGGCUCCUUAGAAAGGAGAAGGAAGUUGAGCUGCAGCAUUGGCGACAUGAGGCGCACCGGAGCUCAAACUAUGAGAGCUAUUUGAUGGAGUAGGUAACUUUAUGUAGUACGUGCUUCGCUCCUUUCUAACCUUAAGGCUAACCCCUUUUGCCGUAUAAGUUGCGGAUAAAGGCGGAGGCCUUGGAGUACCUCAAAGGCAACGUCAACCGUGUCAGAGUUGCUUGCGGGGAGCUAAAAGUUCAACUGCAGGCUCGAACUUUGGAGGAGAUGAGUGCCUCGGCUAAGGUUCCUGCCUUCGAGGUCCAACUCUGCUUGACUCAUGACAACGUCAAAGUUCAAGCGGAUAUGAUUGGGAAACUCGAAUUUGAUCUCUCGAAGGUCGGGGCUAAGAUAAUUGAUGCCUGGGCAGAAGCGGCACUAAGCCAAACCAAGGUCGAUCGUGAGAUGGCGAUUCGUAUGAAGGAUGCUAUUGAUUCCCAAGUUGAGCUGAAGCGAGCCCUCAACCGGGGGAACAAGAUCGAGGAAUAUAUUCGUUGUAGAUCCCGAACAGAGGCACUCGAGGAGGUCGGUGUAAGGGGUUUCAUCCUCUCCGAGGAAUUGGCUCGAGCAAGGGUGAAUGGGCGUGAUGCUCGGUCAUUUCUUGUUGACGUUGCGGAGGGUGAACUCAACAUGUUGUAGCCCUUUAGUGCAGAGUGUAGACUUUACCAUAUUGUCGCUUUAGACUUUUCCAUUUUGUCGCUUUGGACUUUGCCAUUUUGUCGCUUUGUCUCUGAUAUACGUAGUGCAUGUCUGUAGAUGGAGAAUGCGCUUUUUCGCACAUGUAAAAUAUAAGAAGAAACUUGAAGCUUUGUUUCUCCUGUACUUUUUUUCUAUUGUUGCUUUCGAUUGGGCCGGCUGAUUUUGGUGUUUGGCGAGGUCCUCAUAGGCCCAGAAUGGAUCGGACAGACCCGGGGGAUCUUAAGUGCGAUCCUUGUUGCGAGUAGGUGUUGGGGCCUCCGUGCUUGGCCUGGCUAUUUAGGCUUAGUCUCCAAGUCGGGCUCUGGCUCGAGCCUUCUUGUCCUCAAAUUUUUUGUGCCCGUGCAGGCGGUUUUAUCUCUUGCCCUUGGGCAUUUGCUGUUCCAACUCUUUUGGGUCCAGUCUUCGAGUCGCAUUGUGACUCGAGCUUCAAUUGACCCUCAAGAUCUUUCUUGCAUGCAUGGGCGGAUGAUGAUGGCCCUUUAUUCUCUGGGUCGAAGUGACUUUAUGGGUGCAUUGGCCGGAGGUUUACUCGGCCGGUGAUAGUGGUACUUAUGCCAUGCUCUUAGGCGUAUAGUAGUUUUCGGGUCCAGUCUCCCAGUCGCAUUGCGAUUCGAGCAGUAAUCGACCCUUAAAUUUCCUUGAUUUCCCGACCGGCGACUGUGGUUCUUAUGUUGUGCCCUUAGGCGUAUUGCAGUUUUCGGGUCCAGUCUCCGAGUUACAUUGCGAUUCGAGCUGUAAUCGACCCUUAAAUAUCCUCAAUUUUCUAGUCGGCGAUAGUGGCACUUAUGCCAUUUGGUCGUUGAGACCUUUCAGUAUGUGGCCUGGAGGUUUGCAUAGUUAACUAUUUUGGAUCCGGUCUCCAAAUCGGAUUACGAUUUGAGCUCAUUUUAAUCCUCAAGUUGUCAAAAUUUUUUAGCUGGCGACAAUGGCUCUUAUGCUAUUUGGUCAUAGAGACCUUUCAAUAUGAGGCCCGUAGGCUUGCUUAGCUGGCGACAACGGCUCUUACGCUGUUUUUGCCCAUGGUCUUUUUUGUAGGCUUUGUUUCCACUCGUUAAGGUCUUUUUAGAGUAUUUUUGCCUGACCCAUCGUCGGUUCUAGAGGAACCUCGAUUUCAAGUCGUUGUCGGCGAUGUUUCAAGCACCUCGUAAGGUUUAUAGAUCGUAGGUCGAGUAGAUCGACGCUCUUGCGGUUUGGAGCCGACGUGGUCGAAGCUCGUUUUUGCCUGUUGAGGGAAGCCUGUUUUAAUCAGUUCUUUCCGAAGUAUAUUCGAAGUAGUGACCUAUGAUUUUUAGCGACAGUCGGGCAUCCCCGAGUCGCGUUAUUUUGGCUGUAUUAGCCAUUUUGACCGUAGUCAUGUGCAUUUGGCCAUAGCCAUUUUUUAUCUCAAGCGAUAGUUUAGGCGUCUACACCGAGCAUAUGCCCUUUAGGGAUUCUUACAAAUGUGAUGUAUAGCCUAAACUUUGGGGUUUCCAUGCCUGUUGAGGUCUUACAGUUUAUCAUUCCUAUUGAGGUCUUACAGUUUGUCAUGCCUAUUGAGUCUUACAAGUUUUAUGAUGUAUAAUAGAUCAGGUUAUGCCGAAUCUGCCUGCUAGGGGUCUUACAGUUUCGGAUUUUCUAGUGCUUGGCGAUUGGCAACAGUCUCCGAGUCAUCGAGUUUGUUUAAGCAUGAAGACCACUUCUCGUGAAUGCGGAGUUGCAUUGUGAGGGCUUUAUGAGCCCGGGGUUCCAACCUUGGGGUCGUGUGGGCGUUGAACCGUUUAAGUCUUCGAGUAUCUCGGGACGUAUACAGCGGAGAGGCCUUUGCUGCGAAUAUGCCGAAAUAGCCUUUUUGAAGUAUGAAAUGCCGAAAAGAUAUUCUUUAUUGCUUGGCGUAAAUAUAGGUUGAAAAUACAUGUCGUCUCGUUGCUGUGAGCUUGGCCUGCGUGGGUGUGGCUCCUCUGAUCAUCUGAUCCGUUUACAUGAUUCUGUUUUGAAACUUAUCCUGCCAUUUUUUGGCCCUUCCGAGGGGACGGUGUCCUUAAGAGAAGGCCAUCACACGCCGUCUGACUGUAGAAACAAAGCUUGCAAUUUUGUGGGAUCCUCUUCUAGGGGGGUGUGCUGCUCUACUAAUAAUCUUGCUGGAAGAGAGCAUGGCGGGCCCCGAAGAGGCCUCGGAUCUCCGAGUGGAGUUAGAACUUAUGAAUGCCUUGGUUGACUGCCUGCAUAUAGGUUAGCAAAAGAAAAUAAACAAUAAGGGAGAGGAGUAGUUCUUCCCUAUUGCGGGAUGUGUAGGCGACGUUUCGAGGUUUGGUAUGUUUCUACCAUUUCGAGGCGUCUUAAUACAGCCUUCUGCUGUGUUCAACCAGGCUUGGCCAAAUAUGUGGUUCUGCUCACCCUUUGAUCCCUUCGAGGGCGGAGGCAUUGAUGCCAACGAUGGGUCAUAUGGUGAGGGAUUUCCUCUCGCCGCGUGUAGCUCCUUGUCGAAUACUUUAGUCCCACCUCUUUCGUGGAGUUUCAUCCCUUUGGCGGAGUGUGGUAGAAGUCGCCUCCGGGCAGUGCGCCCGUUAUCAUUUGAAUGAAACAUCCUUGUUUCGCAGGCUCGACGUUCCAGCCCGAGCUCAAGCGGGCUGUAUAGAGGGAGCAGCCUUCCUGAUUGUUGUGGCGAUCGGUGUCUGGAAUCCAUCAAGGAUUCGAGGUGUGGGAGUGAUUUGGUUCGUUAGUCCGAACCUCCCCAUUGACUUUGGCCUGACAUCGUCAGUAUAAUUGAUCGAACCAUCUGUACUCAUGAACACAUGUUUUAUUUGAAAUAGGUCAAAUAAGGGAGGGGGUUACCAAUCGCGUUAAUACGAGGCUGAGGCGAAGUCUCGGUGUCCCUUUCCUUGGAUGUAAGGGUGUCCUUUGGGUAUAUUCCCCGAACUCAUCUUUCCCCGGCGAUGAGCCCUUUCACUCUGCAUUUUAUGAAUCUUUGAAGGGUGUCGCCGCCCUUUUACUGUCGUGGCAAUACGUUGUGGCUUGCAUCUUCAUUUUUCCCGAUCUCCUUUCUCCAUUGGAGGUGGAUCUGAGCCUGACCGCUCAAUGAUACUUGGUGGAGAUUUCUAUUUAAUAGCACAAUUGUCAUUUUUUGAGUCGGUGACUGCGCGUGCCCUGCAUUUCCUGCGAUGGGCCAUAGUUCCCUUGAAGGGGUCUUGGUCGAAUAGGUCUGAGCCGCCUGGCGUUCCCAGUUUCGCUUAUGGUGAUCAUGAUGUUUGGUAUAGCAAUGCUGAAAUCGUACUCGGUUGGGUGGGGUUCCCUACUAGCUGUGCCUUGUUGAAUCUGGUUCUAUUGGAGGUUCCUCGAGGGUGCUGUCCUCGGGCUAUUUCCCUAUUGUUGCGAGGUAGGUUGCAUCUCGAGUCGUUCCUUCCGUUCGCAGCACAUGGAUGAUACCUCCAUCCGUUUGGCAUCAGCUUCUUUGUCGGGAGUCUGCUUGGAUAUACCAAACCCGAGAAGGUUCCCGGACGGUUGUCCACGGCCCGAUUCGUAGCCGGUGUCGGGUGUGGGAAUCCAACCAGACCCAUGCUGGGUAUGUUAUCAGGCUUCGCUUGAAAUGUCCUAGAGUCAUCAGGCAUGCUUCGUUCAGGCCUCUGGUGAAGGCCUGUGUUGCUCGAUCGUCUGAAACCGGGAGCGAUCUCAUUCGUCCUAUCAGGGAAUGGGGUGUGGCUUCCUGCGGUAUUUCAUUUCUUCUUUGUUUGGCCUCAGGUGUAUCGGGCCUUCUCAGUACUACUUUGAUAGCAUUGGCGCAUGCUUCCGCGGAGGACCACGCUGGUAUGGUAAGCGAGUCUGUGAGGUGAGGUGCCAGGCGGUGGCGCUGCGUCAUGGUUUCUUUUGAGAGAGUUUCUUCGAACUUCUCAACGAGACGGGCUCGAACUCAUUAUCUUGGAGGUUGCUGCCUUUGAAUGAGCUUGCUUAAGUGGUGGUGCGCCCGUAAGGAUCUGAGGUCCUGUCGCACUUAGGGGGUUUCGGCAUUCCGGAUUUUUGUAAAGCGAGUUCCGGGAUCGUUUCCUUGGGAGACGGUUGUUGUAAGAGCUUCCAUGAACCUGAUUCGGUCCUUUCAAAGAGAUUCCCAAGCAUCCUCACUAUGCCGGGGUCGGUUACCGAUCUGUCGUUACUUGAUCUCUCGGGUACGAGCUCGGCGUAAGAAGGUGCCUCUAGCGCUACUGCGUUGGGAGUCUCCGGGCGACUUUGCAGAUGAGCGAUAGCCAACUGUCAUGUCUGUAACAUUUCAAAAAUAACAUGAAGAUUAACAUCCUUUUAUACCCGGGCCGGGGUUUUUUGAGCUUCUUGUCAGUCAAUGCGAUGUAUGCUGUCAUCGGUUCGCGAGGCUUCGUCGACCUGUUGCGCGCCUUGUAAGCCCGCGUCUGCUUGAAUCGACCUAAAUGCGUUACCGGAGUCCUAUAGUGACGCGCUAAACUAUGGAACAAUUGAUGCUAAGAAAGUGAAGCUUAACGAUGAAAUAUGAGAUAAAACAAGACAGUAAUCAAAUCGAAGGGGCCUGUUGCCCGGAUGCAAAGCCGGUCGAUAAGGACCUCGGGGUCGGGACUCGAAUCGAGCUCGAGCUAUCGAGAGCAACUGGGAAUAGGAUAACAAUUAAGGAUACGAUCAAGCAAGGCUCUAUACGUCCAAAGUUGCGCAAUAUAGCAUGACAUAAGUAAGAAGACAAUAGAUGUUAAAGCGGCCUCAAGCUAGUAAGAGCGAACAAAAUAGGAGAAAGAGAGAAAGAUAUUAUUGCUUUAUUGGAGAAAUGGAGCUACAUCAGCCCUUUACAAAGUGUUAUAGGUUCCCCUUAUAUAGGCGAGGGAACAUGGUAUGGUACAAAUAUGUGGAGAUUAAACACAAAGUACGGAGAUAGGAUGGUUUGACGUGAUGCCUAAUCAUAGGCUCUAGAUAGGUCGGGCCUGUCAGACGUAGCCAUGUGCCUUGGGGGCUUCCCCCUCCAUCCUGGCUUCGGUCUUCGUUUCCUCCGAGUCGAGCUCCGAUGAGCCCCGAGGUCAGGAACUUGGUCGCGGCCUCCCGCCCUCGGGGUCCCGAGGCAUGCUUCCAAAAUGUCCCGACAGCGAGAAGUCAAAUCUUCUGAUUUCGCCGCAUAAAAGAUUCAGAAAAACUAGAAAAACUUCAGAGUAUUUUUGUUUCUUUUUCAGAAAAUUAGAACCGAACCAAUUCAGCUCUUUUUUUUAUCAAACAGUGCAGAAACGUUUUUGUAUUUUCUAGGGUUUUGAAUCUCUAUUUUUAAGAGUGAGGGAGGGGUUCUACUUAUAGGCAGCCCAAUGACAUGUGCUGAAAAAUAGAAAGAUAGGGAAUUAUUCUCUCACACAAUCCCUAAAGGCAUCUUUCUAACAGAAUUGGGAUAGUUGUCAACCUCUAAUUGGUUUCAUCAUUUUUGUGUUGGCCAAAUAGGGCCAGGUGCCCCAAAUUCUAGAAGCUUCUAACCUUAACCUUAUCUGAAAAAUCCUAUUUCUAUUUUCCAAAUUAACCCCUAAGUUUCCAUUUAUUCAAUUAACCCCUCCUAAGUUUCUAAUGAUUUGCAAACUAUGGCAAACAAGAACAAGGCAAGCAAACAUGAACCAACGGAUUAAAAGCAAACAAAAACCUCAGAGUCAAAAGUUUGAGUAUCUGAAAACUAGCAAAUAAACCUACACCUUUAACAUGAAACCAAUUUAUAAUAAACUCUAGAUUAACAUGAAACUAAACCAAAAGCUAAUUAAACGAUGCAUUCAUACUAGACUAUGAUUCAAAAAAAAAGAAAAAGAAAAAGGAUAACUGAAACUACUAACUAUCUUAUGAGCUAAAUUAAUCAUGAGCUAAACUAAAUCAGUAAACCCAAAUGAAACUUGAACAAACAACUGGAGUGAUUCCGAAACCAAAUGAACAAACUAAUUCACCCUAAAACAAAAUUACUAACUAACCACGUCCAAAGAACAAACAGAUUUAUAAAUUGAAAAUCAAUCGAGAAAGAACACUGACUCGACAUUUGAAGAAGAGAGAAAAAAAAGAAAUGGAGAGGUAACAUGAUGAUACCUUACCAUUUGGACUGAAAAAAACAAACGAAAUAAGCUUUGAGGUCCGUCUCCACCUUGACUGACCAACAGAGGUCUUUUCCUUCAAGGGAUCCGGUCUUGCAUGGCUUUGACCGGAUCUCCUUGAAAGAAAAGAUUUCUGGAAGCCUAAUCUUCGAGGGGAAAACAGCAAAGAAGCUUUGGAUUUUUAACGAAAUUUGAAGCAGCACUUGGUGCCUUUCUUUGAACCGGAUAGAACUUGAUCUUGGAUUUGAAAUUGAAAAGCUUUGUGGGGUUGUUUGGGAAAAUCAGUGAGGUAUUGAGGGCGAGGGGAGUGAGGAGAUUGUGUGAUCAGAUUCUGGGCGGACUUGGGCGAACUAGGGUUUAGGGGACUGAUUCUUAGAUCUAAUUUUGGAGGACUUGGGUAGGGAUUUUGGAGAAAAGGUUUAUGGAUUUGGAAAGGGGAGGGAAAGGGGGUUGCCUGGUAAAAUUUGGGGAGGUUUAGAUCAUCGGAACCGCCGUGAUGCGAUUUCUGGUGGUGGUUAGCGACGGAGGCGGCGGGGGUUUUUUAGGCGCCAAGGUUUUGCUUCAUGUUGAAGGGGACGAGGGAAUGAUUGGGUUUGACAGGUGGUGGGGAUUCUUUGUUAGGACAGUUAUAAGGUUUGGUUAAUUAGUUCUGAACUGGUGGAUCACUAAGAUCCAACGGAUGUGAUCAGGGACGGGCAAAACAGGGUCGUUUGGCUUAGUGGGGUUUGGACCGGGUAAGGGGUUUGGGCUUGGGCGGAUUUGAGUUGGGUAAGGGAUGUGUUUGGGGCGGAUUUGGGGAAAAAAUUUGGUCUUCAGCAUCAAUUGGCCCAAAUUGGAUUUUAAGACCAAGUUUUUCAAUUCCCUUUUUCUUUUGUUUUCUUUUCUUUAUUUAAUUAAUUAAAUUCCUAAAUUAAUCUAAGUUGUAAAAUUAAAUUAAUUAUCAAAUUAUAAAAUUUAUAAAAAUUAAUUGAUCCUAAAUUAAAAGAAAAGAACUACUGAUCGAGAAUUAAAAGCUAAAAAUGUAAAAGUAAGCCAAUUUAUUUUAUUUUCAUUUUUAAUAAAGCAACUAAUUUACUAAUUAAUCCUAAAAAUAUGGAGAAAAAAAAUCUCAAUGCAAUUCAUGGUAUUUUUGGUAUUUUCAUGAUUUAAAUAAAAGUAAAUGUGCACAGAAAUGCAAACAAUUAACAAAAAAUCCUAUAAAAUUACAGACAAUUGGGAAAAAAUCUAUUUCUUUAAAUUAUAGGAGUAUUCCAUAUAGAGCAAAAAUCACGUGCUCGCAGCUACUUGUCAGAUAUUGUUUACCAUUGUUGAAGUUAUUACAUAUCUCGUAGUUUCAUUGUCUCAUAUUAUUGUCUUAAGCUGCUUAUCGGUGUUUUAUGGCAUAUUUUGGAUUUAUUUUGCUGAGUAGUAUUAUUUGUGUAAAGUUUCUUAAUGUACAACCUUUCCGUUUAUUUUGGUUUGAGGUUUAAAUAUUGUGGAGUGUUUUGAGUUAANNNNNNNNNNNNNNNNNNNNNNNNNNNNNNNNNNNNNNNNNNNNNNNNNNNNNNNNNNNNNNNNNNNNNNNNNNNNNNNNNNNNNNNNNNNNNNNNNNNNNNNNNNNNNNNNNNNNNNNNNNNNNNNNNNNNNNNNNNNNNNNNNNNNNNNNNNNNNNNNNNNNNNNNNNNNNNNNNNNNNNNNNNNNNNNNNNNNNNNNNNNNNNNNNNNNNNNNNNNNNNNNNNNNNNNNNNNNNNNNNNNNNNNNNNNNNNNNNNNNNNNNNNNNNNNNNNNNNNNNNNNNNNNNNNNNNNNNNNNNNNNNNNNNNNNNNNNNNNNNNNNNNNNNNNNNNNNNNNNNNNNNNNNNNNNNNNNNNNNNNNNNNNNNNNNNNNNNNNNNNNNNNNNNNNNNNNNNNNNNNNNNNNNNNNNNNNNNNNNNNNNNNNNNNNNNNNNNNNNNNNNNNNNNNNNNNNNNNNNNNNNNNNNNNNNNNNNNNNNNNNNNNNNNNNNNNNNNNNNNNNNNNNNNNNNNNNNNNNNNNNNNNNNNNNNNNNNNNNNNNNNNNNNNNNNNNNNNNNNNNNNNNNNNNNNNNNNNNNNNNNNAUGGAGUAAUAAGAGUGAAUAUUGAUAUUGAUAUUGAUUAUAUGGUGGGAUAGGGCUGCGUGCCGCAUCAGUUUAAGUGUUUAUGUAUCAUUUUUCUACUGUGUAAGUUAAUCUGUAGUUUUGUAUUUCACUUAAGGAUUGGUUAUAGCUGGAUACUGAUAAGAUACUUGAGUUCUGUAUUCAGUCCUUGUAAGUUACUAUUUAAUUUUGUUCCGUUUUUCUUUUUUCUUUUAUUUUACACUGUAUGCAGGUUAUAUUUUAAUUGCUCCGCCAUAGCCUCAUCACUACCUCAUCGAGGUUAGGCUCGGCACUUACCAGUACAUGGGGUCGGUUGUACUGAUACUGCACUCUGCCCUUUCUAUGCAAAUUUCGGAGCAGGUAGUGGCUAACUAAGAGAUUGACUUCAGGUUACACAGUUUAGAGACCAAGGUAGUCCUACUGGCAUCCGCAAGCCCUGGCGUCCCCUUCUACAUCUCUAUAUUACUAAUUUCUUUAUUUCCAAAACAGUUGUUAUUUCUUUCAGACCGAUGUUUGUAGAAAAUUAUAGUAUGUUCGUGGAUUGUGACACCGGAUUCUGGGUAGUAAUAACAAUUGUAUUGGUAAUAGUAUAUAAAUAAAGAGGUUGUUUACUUACUUCCGCAAUUAUUUACCCUUGUUUUAGUUUGUUUACUUUUAAUCAAUGAAACGUAAAGGAAAAUGGUUAACAAAACUCUAACGUUGGCUUGCCUAGCGAGUGUGAUGUUAGGUGUCAUCACCGUCCUGAUGGUGGAAAUUCUGGAUCGUGACAAGUCGGUAUCAAAGCUCUAGGUUGCCUAGGUCUCACAAUUCAAGAACAAGCAUAGUAGAGUCUGAGGGAUCGGUACGGAGACGUAUGUGCUUAUCCCCAGAGGCUACAGAGUUUAGGAACAAUUUCACUUCUAUUCUUCCCAGUCAUGCGAUUUGAUCUCUCAAUGCUAAUUGAACUAUCUACUCUUGUUCCUUCAUAGAUGGGAGAAUACGUACCGCUUCAUCAGCUGAGAAGCAGCUAGAGCCCCUAGUGGCAGCUCCUACGAAGGGCAGAGGACGAGGACGAGGACGAGACCAUGCUAGAGGACGGGGCAGGCCUCAUCCCAAAGCUUGAGCAGCAGCACCAACGGUGGAGCCUCAAGUAGAGUUUUAUAAGGAGGCACCAGCUGAGAGCGUUCCAGCAGGGCCAGCUCAGGUUCCAGAGGGGUUCAUCGCUACCCCGGUACUUCAAGAUGCUUUGGUCCGUCUAGUGGGCCUUAUGGAGAGUGUUGCUCAGACCAGUAUAUUUCCCGUAGCACCAGCCGUCUCUUGGGUUGGGGGAGGAGCUCAGACUCUUGCUACUCACACUCCGGGGCAGAUGGCUCCCCAGUUUCAGACUCCUGUAGCUCAACCUGUUGGUGCAGUUCUGUCGUGUGUUGUAGCACAGUCUGGUGAUGGAUCAGCUAUGUCUUCUGAGGCCUUGUUGAGAUUAGACAAGUUCAACAAGCUCUUUCCAGUUCAUUACAGUAGGGGCAGCUUCUGAGGACCCACAUGAUUAUCUUGAUAUCUACUAUGAGGUGCUAGGGAACAUGGGAUAGUGGAGACUGUCACAUCUCCUUUUUCCCGAGUGGGAUAUAAGGGAGUUUUUCCAAUUAAAGUGACAUAAAUCGAAAUGGGAUUAUUUAUUUGAUUCAGAGUCGCCACUUGGAAUAUUUUAUGGUGUCCCAAGUCACCGAUUUAUUUUCAAAUCCCAAAUCGACGAAAUUGACUCUAAUUUUUGGUCCGUGAACAUAGAAGACCGGGUAAGGAAUUCUAUUAAUCCAGGAGAAGAUGUGAGGCACUCCCGAGUUCCGCGGUUUUAGCACGGUCACUCAACUAUUAAUAAUUAUCCUAUUUAUCUGAUUUACUACAUGUUUAGAACCUAUUGUGCAUUUUUAACUUUAUAACCGCUUUUAUUUAUUUAUGGAAUUAUUUCUGGAACAAGUCACGAUUGUCGUACACUAGUCAUUUUGGUACACAUUAUAAACCGUGUCACGGGAAUCGUACCCGCGAUCUACAACAUGUUUAUUUUUAUUAUUAUUCGAAGUUAUGGUCGGGUCACAUGAAAUGCACACCUGAAUUGGGAUUUACAUAUCGUGACCAUGCCACGGGAACCGUACCCAUAGUCACGAUAAUUUAUUUAAACGCACCUAAAGCAAAUUAGGAUGUUUGUAGUUUCUCUUUGGCUACAUUUGAGAUUGUUGUGAGAUCAUGACUAUUGGAAUUAUUUUGGAAAAUCAGAAAGAGUGAUUACAUAGAAGGGCUUCUUGUACCUAGCUUAAUUAACUUAGAGACUUUGAUAUUUUAUGAGUUUUCACGCCAAUUACCAAGUUAGUAACCAUGAAGAUCCUCUGUUUGCCACAUGCAGAUCCAAACUCCAAAAAAAUGAGCAAAUUACACGCUGAAUCGACUCCGCUUGUGUUCUAGCUAGAGAUAAGGAUUAUCCCCAAGGAAUUAUCAUCACACCAAGCCGAUUAACCUCCCGGAAACAUACAGACGAAACCAAGAUUAUGAGACUAAAAUUAAAGUAGAGCAUAUAAGAAUUCAUAAAUAGUUACUCUUCACUAUAGAACAUGGAAAAAAAAUGAAUUUCGCUAUAAGACAUAACCAAAUCAUUUUACCAUUCAAGCAAUUAAAAGCUAAACCAAAGUUGUUGAUUCACAACUAACAUAGACUCCUUAAAUUCCACACAUAAUAGCAUGCUCUAGUGGCUAUGUCAUAUUAAACAAAUCAAGAUAGUUGGAUAUAAUCGGGAUUACUGAUUAAAAUUAUUGUGAAUCCAAUUUGAAUUCGAGAUGCAUAAGAAAUUCUUUGAACAACAGAAAAUAAAUGCAAUAGCACAAUGUUUCGCCUAUCAAUCACAGAGCUGAUCAGAAGUUCAGUCAUUUAGGUAAAAGUCGAGCAAGUACGAACUUAAAGAACAUUUCAAACACAUAAAGAAAUCAAACACCUUAAUUUAUAAAAAACAAAAAUUCAGAAAAACUGAUGAUAGCUCGAUCACAGCCUGCAUUCACUUACACUCACUUAGGUAUGACAUGUAAUUUAAACUUCCAUAUCUUAAGCUCCACCCAUACUUGGAUCCAUACAUACAUAAACAAAGUAAGAUAAGAUGUGAACCUAAAUGAGAGCUUUCGAUUAAUUUGCUAGUAGGCGAUUAUAAGAUAGUCCGGCGACAAACUUGACCACAAAACUGAAACGGCACUAAGCUAAUCAGGGACGGCCAACUUGAACCUCAAACGGAACAAACUCCACUGGAAAAUGAAUUUUUGAAUGCAAACUAGAAUCGAUCUCAGCUCAAUCGAACACCCAUGUUUGACACUCAGAAUCGAAAAAGGAGACUGGAAUAUUUUUUAUAUAUAUAUUUUUGAAACCAAAAUGCUAAUUAGCACAAAAUAGAAACAUUUUUGUUUUUGUAUUUUUGUUCUAGGAAUUGAAAGGAAAAAUCUAAAAUUAAACGAUAAAAAACUCAAACCAAAACAGAAUGAAGAAGAAUCAAGAUGGGAAUCAAAAUCCAAACCCUCAUUUUGGUUUUUUUUCUGUCCCAAAAUUUCCCUAAUUUUCUCUCCCCCUUUCUUUUUUCCCCAGAUCUCGCCCUUUUCAUUUUUGUAUGCGUGUUUUCAGCUCUAGGGUUGUAAAGGGGGGAGGGUCUCAUCUCUUGUUGAAGAUGAGAGAGUGAUGUUUUCAUUGAAGAAGAUAGGAGGAUGGAGCGUCGUUGUUGGUAUUUUUCAAAUGGGGGAGGGUCUGAUUCGGCGGCGGAUCUAGGGUUCAGCCAUGGGGAUGGGAUCUUUCUGAUUUCUUGUGUUUUAGGAUGGAGAAAUGGGCGGCGUUGCCUUUUUGGAAGGGUGGGGGAUAUUUUAUUAGGUUUCUAAUGUGUGUUCCUGUUAGAGUGUAGGAGGUAGGGUUUUAAUAAAGGGGAAUGGGUAUUUGGGUAGUGGGCUGGGAUGGUAUGGGCUUGGGUAAUUUGGGAUUUUUGGGCUUCAAAUUAAGCUGGCCCAGACGAAAUUGACAGACCAAAUCCACUUCUUUUUCU
rnacentral:lncRNA from 1 species